GAUCAUAAAAAGGAAAAACUAAAACAUCCAAAAAACACUAAACACAAAAUUCAUAGUUAUAGAGGAGGAUUAGAUACAUUGGUCCCAUAAUAUGUCACUCAAAAUCUCAAAAUCUCAAAAUCAUCCAACAAAAAGAAAUCAUCACUUUAGUUAAUUAAAUCAAGAACAAAUAAAGUUAUGGAUGAACAAAUAUGGGAAGCAAAGAAUGAUGAUCACGAGAGAAAUAAGGUUUCCAAUAACAGAUAAAAUUUCACCUAACACAUAUAAUUAAAAUCAUUAAAAUUUACUAACAGAUCUUAAAAUGGUUAUUUUGUGAGGCUGUGGGAGUUGUGUGAAGAAGAAAAAGAGGGAAUGGCAGUGGGUCAAUGCGGGUAGGUAUAAGUCUGAAACAUAUAAUAUCAACUAUGUACUCUGUAAUCAAGGCUAAGAGAAAUAAAGUACUCUAUUUCUUUCCUAUUCAAGAAUAUCAACACAUAAAUAAUAAGGAUAGAAAAAAUAGGUAAUUACAAGUCUUGUGUGAUUCAAAAGGGUAUAAAGUAGGUCCUAAUUAAAAAUCAAACCUUAAAUUAAUUUAAUGUAAAAUUUAACUCUUUUCUUAUCACCAAAUAAAUCUACUUCUAGUAAAUUAGGAGUUUUAAUAAAAUACUUGUAAGAACUGAUUGUUUAUGACUAGGUGUUUUGUUUUCAACAUAUUUGGAAUUAACUUGCCUUAGAAAAACAGUCUCUAUUAUUUUAAGAAUAUUAUAGAAGGGUAGAACUAUGAAAGCGGUUAGUAAAACAUGAGAUGCUAAAAAUAGACACAUGCCAUAAUAGGAAGGAAAAUUAGAAACAAACUCCUAAACCAAAUAAUUGGUUGAUGGCUGAAUUGUCAUGUACGGGGUUGUGGAGGUGACUAUGAGUUUUGAUGUGUUCCUACCUGCUACUAAGGGUAACUCAGGAGUUGCAUUAAAAAUCUGACUUCGUUUGUUUGGCACCAAUUAAAUUGGUUGAUGGCUAGCUCAAUUCACAUAAAUAAUGUAUAUAUACUCUAUGAGUUGCAUUAGUGGUUAUUGUUUAAAGUCCCGCUUCACUAUUUAAAACAACUGUCGAUGGAAAUUAGAUAAAAAUGAAUGACACGAUAACCAGGACUUGUUUACCUUUGAAAUAGUUGUCACCAAGAUCCAAAGUCUCGAGAAAGGUCAAAUUUCCAAUUUCUGUAGGUAUACUUCCCUCCAAGGAGUUGUUAAACAAUGAUAAAAACUUCAGCUCUUUGCACUUGAAUAAACUAUUUGGAAUUCUACCGGUAAUUUGAUUCCCACCCAAGCUCAACCUUUCUAGUUUUGACAAAUUGCCUAGAGUAGAUGGGAUAACACCAACGAAGUUGUUAAGGUACAGAGACAAUCUUUGAAGUUUACUGAAGCAACCAAACCAUGAUGGGAUUUCUCCAUUGAAGCUAUUGUUACCAAAGUCCAAAUAUUUCAUCCGACGCAAAUUAGUUAACUCAAUGGGUAAAGAGCCAUGGAAACUAUUUUGAUGAAUGCCGAGCCAAGCAAGGAAAGAUAGAUUUCCCAAUAGAGAAGAAAUGGUGCCUGUGAGAUCCAUGCUUGACAAAUUCAGAGCAGUGACUCUAUGGUGUCUAGAUCCACAUGUGACACCAAUCCAGCUACAAACGGAGGUAGAAGUAGACCAAUUGGUUGCCAAGAAAUUGUGAGGAUCAUGAGUUAUAUGAGAUUUUAGUGCUAGAAGAGCAGAUUGAUCAACGGUGAUGCUAGAAUAUUUUGCAGACAAAAUAACCCCAAAGGUUGCGAAUAGCAGCCCAAACAUAAACGGAGGGAGGAAGCUUGGUUUUGCCAUAAGGUUGGAUACGGGUGUCAGGCGCAUCAUAAGGAGAGAAACAACCGAAUUUAAUACUUUUCUAAUGUUAUAGUUCAAUAUUCUUUAAAUACUUUGAUUCUAAGGAUUUAAGCAAGGCAUCCAUUGACUCAUAAUUUGAGUAAGAAAUACGUACAAUCUUGUGGGUCCAACCAUGUUAUAGGAAAAAAAAAAGGGAAGGCUUAGUCUCAAGUUGAAGAGUAGCACUAAUAAUCCAAUUGUAGGUUUGGGAAAAAAUUUAAGAUGUAGAAAAUUUUUAUUAUUAUUAAAACUCUUAUCAAAUACUUAUUUGACGCAAGUUUAAAUUGUGUUGAUCUCAUUUUAUAUUCCAAUGACAAUUUGAAUAAUUAGUAAUUUUUUUAUUUUUAAUUAAUAUAAAAAUUCUCAACUCAAAUUUUAAAUUAAAAAUUAAAAGUACUUUGUAAGUUUAUAGUAAUUGUAAGUUUCAUUUCAUAAAUUAGAAGAAUUUAUUGUUAUAAUUUUAAUUUUUUUAAACAUAUAGUUCAACAUUUUUAUUUAAAAAAAAUAGCAUACUAGUUUUAGAUUAUAUGAUAAUUAAAUUUAAUUAAGAUUUAUUAUACUUUAAUUAACUAUUAAUCACACUUACUGAUUUUCAUCAUCAUCAUUCAGUAUCUAUUAUUUAUUAUUGAUUUAUUGGCCAUUUUAAUCCUUGAGAUAAUUGCCAUCUAGGUCCCUAAGCUUUUUAUUAAUUAAAACUCAAUAAUAAAUAUAUCGAUGGAGCUUUGGUUUUAGUGGGCAUGAAACCAUGGAGUCUUUACAGCUUUGAGGGAAAAAAAGACAGAAAAAGAAUUUUAAAGACACAAAUUAAUAAAUUAAUUUUUUUAAUCUACGUUUUAUUAAAACACACACCCAAAAAUCACCUCAUUUUCCCGUAGCUUAUUAUUUACAGUUUUUCUUGCAAUCCAAGUGCAAUCCAAUUGGCAAUUGGAAAAUGAUACGAUGUUUAUGUUUUAUUUUUUUUCAUUUUUAAAUAUAAUAAAGGCGAAAUUGACGGAAGGAAAAACUUUCUCCUUGGUUUAAAAGUCCAGAUAUCAAUUACAAGACAUAAAAAACAAAGACAAGUAUUGGUGGCCAGUAGAUGAUAGUGAGUGACACUAUUUGAUUUAGUCUAAUUAUUACAACAUGUUUGAUUCAAACUAUUUUGUAUUUGGCAGCGAAGCAGGUCGAAGAUGGCAGAUUUUACCUCCCUGACUACAGUGGAGUACAUUGAAGCCGAUAACUCUAUCUCCCUGUAUUUGGCAGUGGAAUAGAUUGAAGAUUGCAGAUCUUGCCUUCCUGUAUUUGGCAGCGAAGCAAGUCGAAGAUGGCGGAUUUUACCUCCCUGACUACAGUGGAGUACAUUGAAGCCGAUAACUCUAUCUCCCUGUAUUUGGCAGUGGAAUAGAUUGAAGAUUGCAGAUCUUGCCUUCCUGUAUUUGGCAGCGAAGCAGGUCGAAGAUGGCGGAUUUUACCUCCCUGACUACAGUGGAGUACAUUGAAGCCGAUAACUCUAUCUCCCUGUAUUUGGCAGUGGAAUAGAUUGAAGAUUGCAGAUCUUGCCUUCCUGUAUUUGGCAGCGAAGCAGGUCGAAGAUGGCAGAUUUUACCUCCCUGACUACAGUGGAGUACAUUGAAGCCGAUAAUUCUAUCUCCCUGUAUUUGGCAGUGGAAUAGAUUGAAGAUUGCAGAUCUUGCCUUCCUGUAUUUGGCAGCGAAGCAGAUCAAAUAUGGCAGAUUUUACCUCCCUGACUACAGUGGAGUACAUUGAAGCCGAUAAUUCUAUCUCCCUGUAUUUGGCAGUGGAAUAGAUUGAAGAUUACAGAUCUUGCCUUCCUGUAUUUGGCAGUGAAGCAGAUCAAAGAUGUCAGAUUUUACCUCCCUGACUACAGUGGAGUACAUUGAAGCCGAUAACUCUAUCUCCCUGUAUUUGGCAGUGGAAUAGAUUGAAGAUUACAGAUCUUAUCUCCCUAAGCAAUAAUGGAGUAGGUUGAAGACGGCAGAUUUUACCUCCCUGAUUACAGUGGAGUACAUUGAAGCUGGUAGUUCUACUUCCCUGGGAAACAGUGGAAUAGAUCGAAGAUUACAAUCUUAUCUCCCUAAGCAGUAGUGGAGUAGAUCGCAUUAAGUCUUAUCUCCCUAAGCAGUAGUGGAGCAGACAAAACCACAGAUCUUAUUUCCCUAAGCAAUAGUGGAGCAGAUCGCAUCAAGUCUUAUCUCCCUAAGUAGUAGUGGAGCAGACUAAAAACACAAAUCUCAUCCCCAUGGAAUCGUAGCAGAUUAGAUUGAAGCUACAAGGCGUAUCUGAAGUUGCAUUAGAGUGGAUCGAAGCAACAAGACGUAGCAGGCUGGAAUAAGGCUACUGGAAGAAGAUGAGCACCAAAAAGUCAAGACUCGGCAAGACCGGGCAAAAUUGGCCCUUUUGAUGUCUUUGCUCUAUUCUCGUUACACGAAAAUGAGCAAAGAGGGGCAGCUGUAAAGGCCCAAUUUUGGCCCAACUUAAACCAACCCUAACCAAAACCCAGUCCCAACCAGACCCACUACCUAAACACUAAAAACCCAACACCAGCCCAAAACAGUGAAGCCCGAUAGGCCCAAGUCUCUAAAAAAAUUUUUGGAAAGCCAGAAACCCUAGGGUUUCUGGCGCCGUUGCCCCAUGUGCGCGACCACGCAGUCCCCACUUCCUCCUCUGCCCAAAACCUAGCACUGCCCAUACCGUUUGCACCCCAUGCCUCUGUCACCUCCAUCGUGCCCAUCCCAUGCAAAGAGACAAAGCAUAAACAAUAAGAAAUUAGAUGAAAGUGGGUUAUAAAAACCCGAAUCAAAAUUGUAUGGCGGGGGGUUUUUUUUUUCUUUUCUGUUUUCGUUUUAACAUUCGUUCAAAUGUUCAAAAGAAAUCAACAACCAAGAUAGAAUGAAACACAUGUACAAGCCGUGAUUUUAACACUGAAAUCAGAAGUUCAAAGUUGUCAAAAAAAAUCAAAAACUACAAAGUAUAAGGUAAUCUUUUUCUUUAUUUUUUUCUCGUUUUCUAAACCUAUUUUCCAUACAUAAAUAUUAAUAUAUAUAUAUAUAUAAUACAAGAAAUAAAAAAAUAAAAAAAAUAAAUUUUUUUUACCUUUUUCGGCCACCGCGUGCGGUGGCCGGCGCCGGCGCCGGCGAGCCUCCGGUGGCCGUCUGGUGACCGGCCCCCCUGGCCGGAUUUUCCUUCCCCCCUCCCUUCUCUCUCCCUUCUCUCUUCCCUCUCUCUUCCUUUUUUUUCUUUCCCUCUCCCCAAAUGAUUUUUUUUGGUUAUUUUAGGCCUUAUAUAGCCCUCCAAAACGACGUCGUUUUGGGGGCUACACUUAAGCCUCAAAACGACGUCGUUUUGACCAUGCCCGACCCAUCCGACCCGACCCGCUAGAGGAUCCGCGUGUUUUCGUUUGAAUGGGAUAUUUAUGCGCGCAGUCCUUCCGCUUUUUCAGGGUUUUGCAAUUAAGUCAUUUUUCUUGUUUCCAAUUUGGCCCCAUAAUUUCUCGCGCUUUUCGAUUUAGUCCCCGCUAAUGUGCUGCGUUUUAAUGGAAUGGAAUAAUUGUUGUUUCGGUCCCCCUAUGUUUUGUGUGCGCUCAAAUAAGCCCAUUUCUCUUUAUUUCCUUUCACAUUUGCCCCACAACUUUGUUUUUAAUUCAAUUUUAGUCCUUUUUUUCGUUUAUUCUUAUAUCUUUAUUAAAUAUCCUUGUUAUUUUUAUAUUAUUAGUAUUAUUAGUAUUACUAUUAUUAUUAUGUAUUAGUAUAUAUUUUUAUUAUGUACGCGUAUACAUAUAUAUAUAUAUUUUCAUAUUUAAUAUUUUUAUUUCAUUUUUAUUCUAAUAUUUUAUUAUAAUUUAUAUAUAUAUACAUGUACAUAUUCUUUAUUUAUUUUAAGUAUAUAUUUUUUAUAUUUCAUAUUUUCUACAGGCAUAUAUAUACUUAUAUAUUUACAUAUUUUAAUUCAUAUACUUAUAAAUGUAUGUACAUACUUACGUUAUUUUAUUUUUUUAAUAUACAUAUUUAUAUUUUUUUGUCUUUAUGUAAUAUAUAUACAUACAUGCGCAUGUUAUUUAUAUAUAUGUAAUUAUGUUUUCAUAUUUUAUAAUUCUUAUACAUACACAUAUAUAUAUACGUAUAGACAUACAUAUUUUCAUUAUAUAUAUACCUACAUAGUUUUUUUUUGUAUUUUAAAUCUUUUAAAAUUCAUACAUACAUUUUUAAAACUUUUAUAAUUUUAUUCAUUUCUUUAUUAUUAUUAUUGUUUUACUUUAUGUUUAUUUAUUUAUGUGUCCAUUAUUAUUUUUUUUUAAAAUGUUUUAGUUUUUUUUAUUUUGUUUAUUUACUUGUUAUUGUAUAUAAUUGAUUUUUUAUAUAUUUAUUUUUGUUAUCUUCGCUCGUAUUAUUUUUACUCGCAUUAUCGUAAUUGUUAUUCCGUCACAUCAAUUUUUACCCGAAUUCGUAAAAAAGGAAAAUUUUGGAAAUAAAAGCAAUACUCAAUACUUGGGAUCUUCGAGAGAAUUGGGCCCUAACGUGCUGGGUUCUAAUUUUCUGUUGAAUCUAAAUGCUCGAGAAUGCUCUUUAAUAAAAAAACAUAAAUAAAAACUCAUUAUCGGGAUUUCAAUAUGUUGUGUCCUAACGCAUUGGAUAUAACACGUGGUUUUCUCGAUAUGAGGAUUUUUCGAAAGUAAAGGCAAUAUUCUGUAUUUAGAAAAUUCGAGAAAAUCGUGCCCUAACUUACUGAGAUUCGAUUUUUCUCGUUGAUUCUAAGUAAUCGAAUAUCCUUUUAAAAUUAAAAUAAAUGAGGUUUAAAUAAAAAAAUAAAAGGAAAGCUUACUCUCAAAAAAUACAAGGUGUCGUGUCCUAACUUACUGGAUGUGACAUCUUGUUAAUUCGAGAUAAGAAGGCAUUUUUCAUUUUGACUUAUCCAAGUAAUUUUUUUUAAAAAAUAACGCAAUAUAAAGAAGGAUCUUAUUUUUAAAUUCUUUUCGAGUUUUUAAUUUUCGACAUAAAGACAUUAAAUAAUCAACUAAGGUACCAAUUUUGGGCGUGUCGAGGGUGCUAAUCCUUCCUCAUGCGUAACCGACUCCCGAACCCUUUUUUUUUCUGAAUUUCGUAGACCAAAAUCGUUAUUUUAAUAAAAAUUAAAUCGUUUAUUAAAAACAACCACUCUUCGAGGUGACCCGAUCACACCUCAUCAAAAAAGAUUGGUGGCGACUCCCAUUUUCGUUUUUAUUUUUAAAAAAACCCAAGUCGACCCCGUUUUCAUCCAAAAAAUGGUGUCAACAGAGUCUUUACAGCUUUGAGGAAAAAAAGACAGAAAAAGAAUUUUAAAGACACAAAUUAAUAAAUUAAUUUUUUUAAUCUACGUUUUAUUAAAACACACACCCAAAAAUCACCUCAUUUUCCCGUAGCUUAUUAUUUACAGUUUUUCUUGCAAUCCAAGUGCGAGAUGAUCACAAAUUCCAAUUGGCAAUUGGAAAAUGAGAUACGAUUUUUAUGUUGUUUUUUUUUUCAUUUUUAAAUAUAAUAAAGGCAAAAUUAACGGAAGGGAAAACUUUCUGCUUGGUUUAAAAGUCAGAUAUCAAUUACAAGACAAAAAAAACAAAGACAAGUAUUGGGGACCAGUAGAUGAUAGUGAGUGACACUAUUUGAUUUAGUCUAAUUAUUACAACAUGUUUGAUUGAAACUAUUUUGUAAUCUCUGAUUAAAUAAAUAUUGACAGGAAAAGACUUCAAUUUUCUUCUUUUCCUUAGCUAUAAAAUUGAAUUUCUAGUUUGGAUUACAUGCCUUUGGUUCUCAUCUCUAGUUGUGUAAGGCUGAGUCGCUGUUAAUUAGUUGGAUGGACCUACAUUAAAAACAUGAAUUGAAAAGAUAAGUAAUAGAAACUUUGUCAGAUUUAGACAAAUAUCAACCACAUCUUUAUUAACAUUUUACAUUUCUUAUCCCAAUAUUCAAAACCAAACAAUAAUACAUUCAUUGCAUGUUCCUUUUCUCAAAUAUCAUUUUAUUUAAUGUCAUUAGACAUUACUCUAUUCUUUUUUCUUUGUGAUAAAAAUUGUUAAACAAAAAAUUAUUACAAAUGUUGUAGGAAUCUAUCCUUUGAGAUUGUUUGAUUCUAGUUUUUGACAAAUUGCUCAAAGUUGAUGGGACAAAACAAGUGAAUUUGAUUCUAGUUUAGUGAGAUCAAAAUUUGUUGGCAAAUUAAAUUACUCAAUGGGUAAAUAUCCAUGGAAGUUAUUGUCCCAAAGUGGGGUUGGACUUGGAUGGUAUCUGCGAGACUCAUUUUUAUCAUAUUCAAAGCAGUGGCUGCCGAAUAAAUUACAACUAGAAAUAAAAAUAGAUCAGUUGGCUGCCAAGAGGUUUUGAGGGUCAUGCUUGUUCCCUAUCAACCCGAGUACUACUAAGUAAGUACCCCUCUAAAUGGGGAGAACUUUGUUGAUCUUUCAUUGGUUUAAAAGUCUAAAUACCAAUUGUAAGGCAUCAAAACAACAAAGACAAGUAUUGGGGACCAGCUGAAGAGAGUGAGUGACACGGUUUGAUUUAGAGUCUCAUGAUUGCAAUAUAUUUGAUCGUGAUCCUCAAAUUUGAUUGAAAUGUCUAACAAAAUAAAUACCAAGAUGGAAAGACCUUUUUUUCUAUAAAAUCUAAAUUUCUAGUUUUGAAGACAUGCUUGUGGUUCUCAUCUCUUACUUGUUCUGCACGGCUAAGUUGCAGUUGCUUCGAUGGACCUAUGUUGGGAAACAUGAAUUGAAAAGAAUGCCAACAAGUAAUAGAAAUUUUGCAAUAUUCAGAUAGAUCAAAUUAAGCUUUUUGUGGACCAUUCUCAGAUAAUUACUUUGGCAAUCUUGAAUUUAACAAUCUAACCAUUAAAUUUAACAAUAUAAUUAUAGUUGUCUUGCAUUUUAAAUUUUGAAUUGAUUUAAUACCUCUAUCAUUUCGGUCCAAAACUUUGUUUAUUUCAUAUAUAUUUAAGUAUUUUUGAAUGUAACUAAGUAAGCAUGUUUCUUCUACCGCGAGUCAAAAGGUUGCAACAAUUUUAGCCAUUUUGUACACAAUAUAACAUUAUAUUGUUGCCUUAAUUAAAGCAGAAUAAUAUAUAUUUCCAUAAGUUUUUAAAAAUAUCAUAAAUUUUCAUUGGGAAUUUUAUUGGUGCAUUCUAAAUUACAUAAUAAUCAGAAAUAUAAAAGAUUUCCAUUGGGAAUUUGUUGGUGUAUUCUCGCCUUUUAGUAAAAGUAAUAAUAAAAAAUUUUGUUGAUUCACCUUUACUAUGAAAAUAAAAAUAAAAAAUUACAAAAUUAGAACCGUAAAUCAAUUUUGGUUUAAAAUUUUAAACCUACAUAUUAAAGUUAAUCUUUGUGUAGAAAAUCUGAUAGGUAAGUAGCAUAGCAUCCAUCUAAUAGAUUAGGAAAUCUGUAGUCUUGAGAUGGAAUAGAUUUUACGGUCACAUUGGCAACCUUAAAUUAUAAUCUUCUUUGAUCUCGUUUGCAUAACAUCCAUCUAAUUUUGAGAAUUCUUCACUUUUAAUUUCAAAAUUGUAAUUAAAUAGUUUUAUCCAAUUAAAUAAUAAUAAUAUAUGGCUAUGGUGAUGUCUAUAAGAUGGGAACAAAAAUUAAACCCGUUGUGAGUGGUGGGGUAGGCGUGGGUAUGACCUUGUACCUAAGUCAUCCCCACCUACCCCAUCCCAUCCCGCAUAAUAUAAUAAACAUAUUUAAAAAAUAAACAUUUAUAAAAAUUAAUUUAAUAAUUAAUUUAAUAAUAUUUAAUUUUUGCUCUUGUGUUGCAUUUGAAGAUAUUUAUGAUGUAUUUGAGAUAUUGUUUGUAUUUUGAUAUUAUGUAAUGACUUUAUUUUUUAAAUUUUUAAACUUGAAAUUAUAUCUUAUUUACCAACUAAAGGUCGUAACGACUUACCUUUUUUUUAAAUAAUGUUUAUUUAAUAUAUCCACAACAAUAUCAGUCUGAUUUACUGAAAAAUAUAUAUUAUAUAUCCACAACAAUAAAUUAAUUUAGUUAUUACGUCUCAUCCAAUAAUAAUAUUUUCACUAUUACCAAAUUUUUUCUCUUUUAAUAAUUGUUUGGAAAAUGGCUUCAAGAUGAAUUUAGACAAAUAGUUUAGUAGUAGAUUAAAUUCUUUGGAUAUAUUAACCAAAUCCACACCAGAAAAAUUUACCUAUGAUGGAUUUAAUUGAACAUAUAAAAUAAUAACUUGUUAGAAGGGUUGAUUAAUUGGAAAGCAUAGAAUGGGUUAAUGAAUUAGAAAGCAAGAAUUUAUAAAACUUAAGGAUAUAAUUUUGUAUUGGAAUUAUUCAGUGGGAUGAAGAGUAAAUUUCAAGUAGCAAAAGGAUGGAUCCAUCUCACUCCCUUCCAUAUUUAGUCUUUUGCAAAUAUUCAAGAAUAGGCUGAUGUACAAUUAUUUUACUUUGAAUGCAUGAGUCUAUGGUAAGGACGGGGUCCCAGCAGUAAGGUAAAAUGGUAAGUGUUGAAACAGAAAAUAAAAGAAAUGUAGAUGAUUUAACGAUGAUGGGGUCUUAUGGUGCUUUGGAAUCAUCGUUUUUUUAAAGAUGAUUUGAUUUGGAGAAAAGGAGAGGCCGGAUGUGGGUAUUUGGUUGUAUCUUUAUUGUUGUACAAAAAUCUUGCUAGUUCGAGGAUCAACUUUCCUUUCAAUUUUAAUAAAAAUUAUAUAUGAACUUGUGAACUUGUAUUCAAAUUGAAUCUUUCCAUUGAGUCGCCCUUGCAAGUCAAUGCAGCAAUCAAGAACCAUAUUAUUAAUACCCAGCUAAGAUCGUGAACGUUUUCUACUCUAUAUCUUUCUCCUAAAUGCUUCAUUCCAGUGAAAAGUGCUGCAAUUCGUACGGCAAUGGCACCUCUGGCGAUAAUUACAUGGAAAUACUCCCAAAUUAAUCUCUUUGUGGAAGCGUCCUCCUCAUUAGCAGGUUUCUCCGGUCUGAGAUAUGCAUUCAUUGGUUGCACAAAGGCAAAAACUAUGGCAGCAAUACCAAGCUUAAAAUGUAAGGAGCUGACAUAGAAACCCCGAAGUUCGGCAACUGCAAAAAGAACACCAAGUAGGAUAAUUGCUAAUCCUGAAUAUUGUAGGUACAUACCAUCCAUCACCCUUUACAUGUUUUAGGUAUCUAGCAGCCAAUAUUCCACCAGGAAUCAAAAUACCCCAGGAGAGGAACAGCAUAAACCCAUGUACAGCUUUGACAGGUUGUAAACCUUGCUCAGCCUCGGAAGAACCACGGAUAAGCAGCACUUGCACAGCCCUUUGACUCGUGACAGUAUGCAUGUUUUUCUCACUGAGAUGUUCAUCAGUCCAUUUUGAACCCAUUGCCCGUAUGACUUUAAGAGGAGUUGUAGGAUAAAAAAUGUUCUUGCACUCUGGCUUAUCAUUUUGAUUGCAUGAUGGUUUUAAUGGACGUGUGAAUUCCAAAGUAAUGAUGCCAUCUUCUGACCUGCACCUGACAUGUGUUAGAUUCUCAUUUGUUAGAUGGAUGUUCAAGGGAUGCUUUCCAUCAAUCCAAUAUGUAUUUAAAUGCCCUUUUCAAGUAUCGCCAAUCCAGCCCACAUAUGCAUAGCUAUUCACCAUCCCAUUACCGAAACCUAUUGCAAGAUAGCCACUCUUAUUCACACCACGGGCAGCAAUAGUUAUUGAAUCUUCUGAUAACGUCCAAAAGAAAGUAACUUGAUCAUCUAAAAGCACACUAGUGUUAUACAUAUCAGACAGGGCACCAUCAAGAACCAUAUUAUUAAUACCCAGCUAAGAUCGUGAACGUUUUCUACUCUAUCUUUCUCCUAAAUGCUUCAUUCCAGUGAAAAGUGCUGCAAUUCGUACGGCAAUGGCACCUCUGCCGAUAAUUACAUGGAAAUACUCCCAAAUUAAUCUCUUUGUGGAAGCGUCCUCCUCAUUAGCAGGUUUCUCCGGUCUAAGAUAUGCAUUCAUUGGUUGCACAAAGGCAAAAACUAUGGCAGCAAUACCAAGCUUAACAUGUAAGGAGCUGACAUAGAAACCCCGAAGUUUGGCAACUGCAAAAAGAACACCAAGUAGGAUAAUUGCUAAUCCUGAAUAUUGUAGGUACAUACCAUCCAUCACCCUUUACAUGUUUUAGGUAUCUAGCAGCCAAUAUUCCACCAGGAAUCAAAAUACCCCAGGAGAGGAACAGCAUAAACCCAUGUACAGCUUUGACAGGUUGUAAACCUUGCUCAGCCUCGGAAGAACCACGGAUAAGCAGCACUUGCACAGCCCUUUGACUCGUGACAGUAUGCAUGUUUUUCUCUCUGAGAUGUUCAUCAGUCCAUUUUGAACCCAUUGCCCGUAUGACUUUAAGAGGAGUUGUAGGAUCAAAAAUGUUCUUGCACUCUGGCUUAUCAUUUUGAUUGCAUGAUGGUUUUAAUGGACGUGUGAAUUCCAAAGUAAUGAUGCCAUCUUCUGACCUGCACCUGACAUGUGUUAGAUUCUCAUUUGUUAGAUGGAUGUUCAAGGGAUGCUUUCCAUCAAUCUAAUAUGUAUUUAAAUGCCCUUUUCCAGUAUCGCCAAUCCAGCCCACAUAUGCAUAGCUAUUCACCAUCCCAUUACCGAAACCUAUUGCAAGAUAGCCACUCUUAUUCACACCACGGGCAGCAAUAGUUAUUGAAUCUUCUGAUAACGUCCAAAAGAAAGUAACUUGAUCAUCUAAAAGCACACUAGUGUUAUACAUAUCAGACAGGGCACCAUCAAGAACCAUAUUAUUAAUACCCAGCUAAGAUCGUGAACGUUUUCUACUCUAUCUUUCUCCUAAAUGCUUCAUUCCAGUGAAAAGUGCUGCAAUUCGUACGGCAAUGGCACCUCUGCCGAUAAUUACAUGGAAAUACUCCCAAAUUAAUCUCUUUGUGGAAGCGUCCUCCUCAUUAGCAGGUUUCUCCGGUCUGAGAUAUGCAUUCAUUGGUUGCACAAAGGCAAAAACUAUGGCAGCAAUACCAAGCUUAACAUGUAAGGAGCUGACAUAGAAACCCCGAAGUUCGGCAACUGCAAAAAGAACACCAAGUAGGAUAAUUGCUAAUCCUGAAUAUUGUAAGUACAUACCAUCCAUCACCCUUUACAUGUUUUAGGUAUCUAGCAGCCAAUAUUCCACCAGGAAUCAAAAUACCCCAGGAGAGGAACAGCAUAAACCCAUGUACAGCUUUGACAGGUUGUAAACCUUGCUCAGCCUCGGAAGAACCACGGAUAAGCAGCACUUGCACAGCCCUUUGACUCGUGACAGUAUGCAUGUUUUUCUCACUGAGAUGUUCAUCAGUCCAUUUUGAACCCAUUGCCCGUAUGACUUUAAGAGGAGUUGUAGGAUCAAAAAUGUUCUUGCACUCUGGCUUAUCAUUUUGAUUGCAUGAUGGUUUUAAUGGACGUGUGAAUUCCAAAGUAAUGAUGCCAUCUUCUGACCUGCACCUGACAUGUGUUAGAUUCUCAUUUGUUAGAUGGAUGUUCAAGGGAUGCUUUCCAUCAAUCCAAUAUGUAUUUAAAUGCCCUUUUCCAGUAUCGCCAAUCCAGCCCACAUAUGCAUAGCUAUUCACCAUCCCAUUACCGAAACCUAUUGCAAGAUAGCCACUCUUAUUCACACCACGGGCAGCAAUAGUUAUUGAAUCUUCUGAUAACGUCCAAAAGAAAGUAACUUGAUCAUCUAAAAGCACACUAGUGUUAUACAUAUCAGACAGGGCACCAUCAAGAACCAUAUUAUUAAUACCCAGCUAAGAUCGUGAACGUUUUCUACUCUAUCUUUCUCCUAAAUGCUUCAUUCCAGUGAAAAGUGCUGCAAUUCGUACGGCAAUGGCACCUCUGCCGAUAAUUACAUGGAAAUACUCCCAAAUUAAUCUCUUUGUGGAAGCGUCCUCCUCAUUAAGAGGUUUCUCCGGUCUGAGAUAUGCAUUCAUUGGUUGCACAAAGGCAAAAACUAUGGCAGCAAUACCAAGCUUAACAUGUAAGGAGCUGACAUAGAAACCCCGAAGUUCGGCAACUGCAAAAAGAACACCAAGUAGGAUAAUUGCUAAUCCUGAAUAUUGUAGGUACAUACCAUCCAUCACCCUUUACAUGUUUUAGGUAUCUAGCAGCCAAUAUUCCACCAGGAAUUAAAAUACCCCAGGAGAGGAACAGCAUAAACCCAUGUACAGCUUUGACAGGUUGUAAACCUUGCUCAGCCUCGGAAGAACCACGGAUAAGCAGCACUUGCACAGUCCUUUGACUCGUGACAGUAUGCAUGUUUUUCUCACUGAGAUGUUCAUCAGUCUAUUUUGAACCCAUUGCCCGUAUGACUUUAAGAGGAGUUGUAGGAUCAAAAAUGUUCUUGCACUCUGGCUUAUCAUUUUGAUUGCAUGAUGGUUUUAAUGGAUGUGUGAAUUCCAAAGUAAUGAUGCCAUCUUCUGACCUGCACCUGACAUGUGUUAGAUUCUCAUUUGUUAGAUGGAUGUUCAAGGGAUGCUUUCCAUCAAUCCAAUAUGUAUUUAAAUGCCCUUUUCCAGUAUCGCCAAUCCAGCCCACAUAUGCAUAGCUAUUCACCAUCCCAUUACCGAAACCUAUUGCAAGAUAGCCACUCUUAUUCACACCACGGGCAGCAAUAGUUAUUGAAUCUUCUGAUAACGUCCAAAAGAAAGUAACUUGAUCAUCUAAAAGCACACUAGUGUUAUACAUAUCAGACAGGGCACCAUCAAGAACCAUAUUAUUAAUACCCAGCUAAGAUCGUGAACGUUUUCUACUCUAUCUUUCUCCUAAAUGCUUCAUUCCAGUGAAAAGUGCUGCAAUUCGUACGGCAAUGGCACCUCUGCCGAUAAUUACAUGGAAAUACUCCCAAAUUAAUCUCUUUGUGGAAGCGUCCUCCUCAUUAGCAGGUUUCUCCGGUCUGAGAUAUGCAUUCAUUGGUUGCACAAAGGCAAAAACUAUGGCAGCAAUACCAAGCUUAACAUGUAAGGAGCUGACAUAGAAACCCCGAAGUUCGGCAACUGCAAAAAGAACACCAAGUAGGAUAAUUGCUAAUCCUGAAUAUUGUAGGUACAUACCAUCCAUCACCCUUUACAUGUUUUAGGUAUCUAGCAGCCAAUAUUCCACCAGGAAUCAAAAUACCCCAGGAGAGGAACAGCAUAAACCCAUGUACAGCUUUGACAGGUUGUAAACCUUGCUCAGCCUCGGAAGAACCACGGAUAAGCAGCACUUGCACAGACCUUUGACUCGUGACAGUAUGCAUGUUUUUCUCACUGAGAUGUUCAUCAGUCCAUUUUGAACCCAUUGCCCGUAUGACUUUAAGAGGAGUUGUAGGAUCAAAAAUGUUCUUGCACUCUGGCUUAUCAUUUUGAUUGCAUGAUGGUUUUAAUGGACGUGUGAAUUCCAAAGUAAUGAUGCCAUCUUCUGACCUGCACCUGACAUGUGUUAGAUUCUCAUUUGUUAGAUGGAUGUUCAAGGGAUGCUUUCCAUCAAUCCAAUAUGUAUUUAAAUGCCCUUUUCCAGUAUCGCCAAUCCAGCCCACAUAUGCAUAGCUAUUCACCAUCCCAUUACCGAAACCUAUUGCAAGAUAGCCACUCUUAUUCACACCACGGGCAGCAAUAGUUAUUGAAUCUUCUGAUAACGUCCAAAAGAAAGUAACUUGAUCAUCUAAAAGCACACUAGUGUUAUACAUAUCAGACAGGGCACCAUCAAGAACCAUAUUAUUAAUACCCAGCUAAGAUCGUGAACGUUUUCUACUCUAUCUUUCUCCUAAAUGCUUCAUUCCAGUGAAAAGUGCUGCAAUUCGUACGGCAAUGGCACCUCUGCCGAUAAUUACAUGGAAAUACUCCCAAAUUAAUCUCUUUGUGGAAGCGUCCUCCUCAUUAGCAGGUUUCUCCGGUCUGAGAUAUGCAUUCAUUGGUUGCACAAAGGCAAAAACUAUGGCAGCAAUACCAAGCUUAACAUGUAAGGAGCUGACAUAGAAACCCCGAAGUUCGGCAACUGCAAAAAGAACACCAAGUAGGAUAAUUGCUAAUCCUGAAUAUUGUAGGUACAUACCAUCCAUCACCCUUUACAUGUUUUAGGUAUCUAGCAGCCAAUAUUCCACCAGGAAUCAAAAUACCCCAGGAGAGGAACAGCAUAAACCCAUGUACAGCUUUGACAGGUUGUAAACCUUGCUCAGCCUCGGAAGAACCACGGAUAAGCAGCACUUGCACAGCCCUUUGACUCGUGACAGUAUGCAUGUUUUUCUCACUGAGAUGUUCAUCAGUCCAUUUUGAACCCAUUGCCCGUAUGACUUUAAGAGGAGUUGUAGGAUCAAAAAUGUUCUUGCACUCUGGCUUAUCAUUUUGAUUGCAUGAUGGUUUUAAUGGACGUGUGAAUUCCAAAGUAAUGAUGCCAUCUUCUGACCUGCACCUGACAUGUGUUAGAUUCUCAUUUGUUAGAUGGAUGUUCAAGGAUGCUUUCCAUCAAUCCAAUAUGUAUUUAAAUGCCCUUUUCCAGUAUCGCCAAUCCAGCCCACAUAUGCAUAGCUAUUCACCAUCCCAUUACCGAAACCUAUUGCAAGAUAGCCACUCUUAUUCACACCACGGGCAGCAAUAGUUAUUGAAUCUUCUGAUAACGUCCAAAAGAAAGUAACUUGAUCAUCUAAAAGCACACUAGUGUUAUACAUAUCAGACAGGGCACCAUCAAGAACCAUAUUAUUAAUACCCAGCUAAGAUCGUGAACGUUUUCUACUCUAUCUUUCUCCUAAAUGCUUCAUUCCAGUGAAAAGUGCUGCAAUUCGUACGGCAAUGGCACCUCUGCCGAUAAUUACAUGGAAAUACUCCCAAAUUAAUCUCUUUGUGGAAGCGUCCUCCUCAUUAGUAGGUUUCUCCGGUCUGAGAUAUGCAUUCAUUGGUUGCACAAAGGCAAAAACUAUGGCAGCAAUACCAAGCUUAACAUGUAAGGAGCUGACAUAGAAACCCCGAAGUUCGGCAACUGCAAAAAGAACACCAAGUAGGAUAAUUGCUAAUCCUGAAUAUUGUAGGUACAUACCAUCCAUCACCCUUUACAUGUUUUAGGUAUCUAGCAGCCAAUAUUCCACCAGGAAUCAAAAUACCCCAGGAGAGGAACAGCAUAAACCCAUGUACAGCUUUGACAGGUUGUAAACCUUGCUCAGCCUCGGAAGAACCACGGAUAAGCAGCACUUGCAAAGCCCUUUGACUAGUGACAGUAUGCAUGUUUUUCUCACUGAGAUGUUCAUCAGUCCAUUUUGAACCCAUUGCCCGUAUGACUUUAAGCGGAGUUGUAGGAUCAAAAAUGUUCUUGCACUCUGGCUUAUCAUUUUGAUUGCAUGAUGGUUUUAAUGGACGUGUGAAUUCCAAAGUAAUGAUGCCAUCUUCUGACCUGCACCUGACAUGUGUUAGAUUCUCAUUUGUUAGAUGGAUGUUCAAGGGAUGCUUUCCAUCAAUCCAAUAUGUAUUUAAAUGCCCUUUUCCAGUAUCGCCAAUCCAGCCCACAUAUGCAUAGUUAUUCACCAUCCCAUUACCGAAACCUAUUGCAAGAUAGCCACUCUUAUUCACACCACGGGCAGCAAUAGUUAUUGAAUCUUCUGAUAACGUCCAAAAGAAAGUAACUUGAUCAUCUAAAAGCACACUAGUGUUAUACAUAUCAGACAGGGCACCAUCAAGAACCAUAUUAUUAAUACCCAGCUAAGAUCGUGAACGUUUUCUACUCUAUCUUUCUCCUAAAUGCUUCAUUCCAGUGAAAAGUGCUGCAAUUCGUACGGCAAUGGCACCUCUGCCGAUAAUUACAUGGAAAUACUCCCAAAUUAAUCUCUUUGUGGAAGCGUCCUCCUCAUUAGCAGGUUUCUCCGGUCUGAGAUAUGCAUUCAUUGGUUGCACAAAGGCAAAAACUAUGGCAGCAAUACCAAGCUUAACAUGUAAGGAGCUGACAUAGAAACCCCGAAGUUCGGCAACUGCAAAAAGAACACCAAGUAGGAUAAUUGCUAAUCCUGAAUAUUGUAGGUACAUACCAUCCAUCACCCUUUACAUGUUUUAGGUAUCUAGCAGCCAAUAUUCCACCAGGAAUCAAAAUACCCCAGGAGAGGAACAGCAUAAACCCAUGUACAGCUUUGACAGGUUGUAAACCUUGCUCAGCCUCGGAAGAACCACGGAUAAGCAGCACUUGCACAGCCCUUUGACUCGUGACAGUAUGCAUGUUUUUCUCACUGAGAUGUUCAUCAGUCCAUUUUGAACCCAUUGCCCGUAUGACUUUAAGAGGAGUUGUAGGAUCAAAAAUGUUCUUGCACUCUGGCUUAUCAUUUUGAUUGCAUGAUGGUUUUAAUGGACGUGUGAAUUCCAAAGUAAUGAUGCCAUCUUCUGACCUGCACCUGACAUGUGUUAGAUUCUCAUUUGUUAGAUGGAUGUUCAAGGGAUGCUUUCCAUCAAUCCAAUAUGUAUUUAAAUGCCCUUUUCCAGUAUCGCCAAUCCAGCCCACAUAUGCAUAGCUAUUCACCAUCCCAUUACCGAAACCUAUUGCAAGAUAGCCACUCUUAUUCACACCACGGGCAGCAAUAGUUAUUGAAUCUUCUGAUAACGUCCAAAAGAAAGUAACUUGAUCAUCUAAAAGCACACUAGUGUUAUACAUAUCAGACAGGGCACCAUCAAGAACCAUAUUAUUAAUACCCAGCUAAGAUCGUGAACGUUUUCUACUCUAUCUUUCUCCUAAAUGCUUCAUUCCAGUGAAAAGUGCUGCAAUUCGUACGGCAAUGGCACCUCUGCCGAUAAUUACAUGGAAAUACUCCCAAAUUAAUCUCUUUGUGGAAGCGUCCUCCUCAUUAGCAGGUUUCUCCGGUCUGAGAUAUGCAUUCAUUGGUUGCACAAAGGCAAAAACUAUGGCAGCAAUACCAAGCUUAACAUGUAAGGAGCUGACAUAGAAACCCCGAAGUUCGGCAACUGCAAAAAGAACACCAAGUAGGAUAAUUGCUAAUCCUGAAUAUUGUAGGUACAUACCAUCCAUCACCCUUUACAUGUUUUAGGUAUCUAGCAGCCAAUAUUCCACCAGGAAUCAAAAUACCCCAGGAGAGGAACAGCAUAAACCCAUGUACAGCUUUGACAGGUUGUAAACCUUGCUCAGCCUCGGAAGAACCACGGAUAAGCAGCACUUGCACAGCCCUUUGACUCGUGACAGUAUGCAUGUUUUUCUCACUGAGAUGUUCAUCAGUCCAUUUUGAACCCAUUGCCCGUAUGACUUUAAGAGGAGUUGUAGGAUCAAAAAUGUUCUUGCACUCUGGCUUAUCAUUUUGAUUGCAUGAUGGUUUUAAUGGACGUGUGAAUUCCAAAGUAAUGAUGCCAUCUUCUGACCUGCACCUGACAUGUGUUAGAUUCUCAUUUGUUAGAUGGAUGUUCAAGGGAUGCUUUCCAUCAAUCCAAUAUGUAUUUAAAUGCCCUUUUCCAGUAUCGCCAAUCCAGCCCACAUAUGCAUAGCUAUUCACCAUCCCAUUACCGAAACCUAUUGCAAGAUAGCCACUCUUAUUCACACCACGGGCAGCAAUAGUUAUUGAAUCUUCUGAUAACGUCCAAAAGAAAGUAACUUGAUCAUCUAAAAGCACACUAGUGUUAUACAUAUCAGACAGGGCACCAUCAAGAACCAUAUUAUUAAUACCCAGCUAAGAUCGUGAACGUUUUCUACUCUAUCUUUCUCCUAAAUGCUUCAUUCCAGUGAAAAGUGCUGCAAUUCGUACGGCAAUGGCACCUCUGCCGAUAAUUACAUGGAAAUACUCCCAAAUUAAUCUCUUUGUGGAAGCGUCCUCCUCAUUAGCAGGUUUCUCCGGUCUGAGAUAUGCAUUCAUUGGUUGCACAAAGGCAAAAACUAUGGCAGCAAUACCAAGCUUAACAUGUAAGGAGCUGACAUAGAAACCCCGAAGUUCGGCAACUGCAAAAAGAACACCAAGUAGGAUAAUUGCUAAUCCUGAAUAUUGUAGGUACAUACCAUCCAUCACCCUUUACAUGUUUUAGGUAUCUAGCAGCCAAUAUUCCACCAGGAAUCAAAAUACCCCAGGAGAGGAACAGCAUAAACCCAUGUACAGCUUUGACAGGUUGUAAACCUUGCUCAGCCUCGGAAGAACCUACGGAUAAGCAGCACUUGCACAGCCCUUUGACUCGUGACAGUAUGCAUGUUUUUCUCACUGAGAUGUUCAUCAGUCCAUUUUGAACCCAUUGCCCGUAUGACUUUAAGAGGAGUUGUAGGAUCAAAAAUGUUCUUGCACUCUGGCUUAUCAUUUUGAUUGCAUGAUGGUUUUAAUGGACGUGUGAAUUCCAAAGUAAUGAUGCCAUCUUCUGACCUGCACCUGACAUGUGUUAGAUUCUCAUUUGUUAGAUGGAUGUUCAAGGGAUGCUUUCCAUCAAUCCAAUAUGUAUUUAAAUGCCCUUUUCCAGUAUCGCCAAUCCAGCCCACAUAUGCAUAGCUAUUCACCAUCCCAUUACCGAAACCUAUUGCAAGAUAGCCACUCCUAUUCACACCACGGGCAGCAAUAGUUAUUGAAUCUUCUGAUAACGUCCAAAAGAAAGUAACUUGAUCAUCUAAAAGCACACUAGUGUUAUACAUAUCAGACAGGGCACCAUCAAGAACCAUAUUAUUAAUACCCAGCUAAGAUCGUGAACGUUUUCUACUCUAUCUUUCUCCUAAAUGCUUCAUUCCAGUGAAAAGUGCUGCAAUUCGUACGGCAAUGGCACCUCUGCCGAUAAUUACAUGGAAAUACUCCCAAAUUAAUCUCUUUGUGGAAGCGUCCUCCUCAUUAGCAGGUUUCUCCGGUCUGAGAUAUGCAUUCAUUGGUUGCACAAAGGCAAAAACUAUGGCAGCAAUACCAAGCUUAACAUGUAAGGAGCUGACAUAGAAACCCCGAAGUUCGGCAACUGCAAAAAGAACACCAAGUAGGAUAAUUGCUAAUCCUGAAUAUUGUAGGUACAUACCAUCCAUCACCCUUUACAUGUUUUAGGUAUCUAGCAGCCAAUAUUCCACCAGGAAUCAAAAUACCCCAGGAGAGGAACAGCAUAAACCCAUGUACAGCUUUGACAGGUUGUAAACCUUGCUCAGCCUCGGAAGAACUACGGAUAAGCAGCACUUGCACAGCCCUUUGACUCGUGACAGUAUGCAUGUUUUUCUCACUGAGAUGUUCAUCAGUCCAUUUUGAACCCAUUGCCCGUAUGACUUUAAGAGGAGUUGUAGGAUCAAAAAUGUUCUUGCACUCUGGCUUAUCAUUUUGAUUGCAUGAUGGUUUUAAUGGACGUGUGAAUUCCAAAGUAAUGAUGCCAUCUUCUGACCUGCACCUGACAUGUGUUAGAUUCUCAUUUGUUAGAUGGAUGUUCAAGGGAUGCUUUCCAUCAAUCCAAUAUGUAUUUAAAUGACCUUUUCCAGUAUCGCCAAUCCAGCCCACAUAUGCAUAGCUAUUCACCAUCCCAUUACCGAAACCUAUUGCAAGAUAGCCACUCUUAUUCACACCACGGGCAGCAAUAGUUAUUGAAUCUUCUGAUAACGUCCAAAAGAAAGUAACUUGAUCAUCUAAAAGCACACUAGUGUUAUACAUAUCAGACAGGGCACCAUCAAGAACCAUAUUAUUAAUACCCAGCUAAGAUCGUGAACGUUUUCUACUCUAUCUUUCUCCUAAAUGCUUCAUUCCAGUGAAAAGUGCUGCAAUUCGUACGGCAAUGGCACCUCUGCCGAUAAUUACAUGGAAAUACUCCCAAAUUAAUCUCUUUGUGGAAGCGUCCUCCUCAUUAGCAGGUUUCUCCGGUCUGAGAUAUGCAUUCAUUGGUUGCACAAAGGCAAAAACUAUGGCAGCAAUACCAAGCUUAACAUGUAAGGAGCUGACAUAGAAACCCCGAAGUUCGGCAACUGCAAAAAGAACACCAAGUAGGAUAAUUGCUAAUCCUGAAUAUUGUAGGUACAUACCAUCCAUCACCCUUUACAUGUUUUAGGUAUCUAGCAGCCAAUAUUCCACCAGGAAUCAAAAUACCCCAGGAGAGGAACAGCAUAAACCCAUGUACAGCUUUGACAGGUUGUAAACCUUGCUCAGCCUCGGAAGAACCACGGAUAAGCAGCACUUGCAAAGCCCUUUGACUCGUGACAGUAUGCAUGUUUUUCUCACUGAGAUGUUCAUCAGUCCAUUUUGAACCCAUUGCCCGUAUGACUUUAAGCGGAGUUGUAGGAUCAAAAAUGUUCUUGCACUCUGGCUUAUCAUUUUGAUUGCAUGAUGGUUUUAAUGGACGUGUGAAUUCCAAAGUAAUGAUGCCAUCUUCUGACCUGCACCUGACAUGUGUUAGAUUCUCAUUUGUUAGAUGGAUGUUCAAGGGAUGCUUUCCAUCAAUCCAAUAUGUAUUUAAAUGACCUUUUCCAGUAUCGCCAAUCCAGCCCACAUAUGCAUAGUUAUUCACCAUCCCAUUACCGAAACCUAUUGCAAGAUAGCCACUCUUAUUCACACCACGGGCAGCAAUAGUUAUUGAAUCUUCUGAUAACGUCCAAAAGAAAGUAACUUGAUCAUCUAAAAGCACACUAGUGUUAUACAUAUCAGACAGGGCACCAUCAAGAACCAUAUUAUUAAUACCCAGCUAAGAUCGUGAACGUUUUCUACUCUAUCUUUCUCCUAAAUGCUUCAUUCCAGUGAAAAGUGCUGCAAUUCGUACGGCAAUGGCACCUCUGCCGAUAAUUACAUGGAAAUACUCCCAAAUUAAUCUCUUUGUGGAAGCGUCCUCCUCAUUAGCAGGUUUCUCCGGUCUGAGAUAUGCAUUCAUUGGUUGCACAAAGGCAAAAACUAUGGCAGUAAUACCAAGCUUAACAUGUAAGGAGCUGACAUAGAAACCCCGAAAUUCGGCAACUGCAAAAAGAACACCAAGUAGGAUAAUUGCUAAUCCUGAAUAUUGUAGGUACAUACCAUCCAUCACCCUUUACAUGUUUUAGGUAUCUAGCAGCCAAUAUUCCACCAGGAAUCAAAAUACCCCAGGAGAGGAACAGCAUAAACCCAUGUACAGCUUUGACAGGUUGUAAACCUUGCUCAGCCUCGGAAGAACCACGGAUAAGCAGCACUUGCACAGCCCUUUGACUCGUGACAGUAUUCAUGUUUUUCUCACUGAGAUGUUCAUCAGUCCAUUUUGAACCCAUUGCCCGUAUGACUUUAAGAGGAGUUGUAGGAUCAAAAAUGUUCUUGCACUCUGGCUUAUCAUUUUGAUUGCAUGAUGGUUUUAAUGGACGUGUGAAUUCCAAAGUAAUGAUGCCAUCUUCUAACCUGCACCUGACAUGUGUUAGAUUCUCAUUUGUUAGAUGGAUGUUCAAGGGAUGCUUUCCAUCAAUCCAAUAUGUAUUUAAAUGCCCUUUUCCAGUAUCGCCAAUCCAGCCCACAUAUGCAUAGCUAUUCACCAUCCCAUUACCGAAACCUAUUGCAAGAUAGCCACUCUUAUUCACACCACGGGCAGCAAUAGUUAUUGAAUCUUCUGAUAACGUCCAAAAGAAAGUAACUUGAUCAUCUAAAAGCACACUAGUGUUAUACAUAUCAGACAGGGCACCAUCAAGAACCAUAUUAUUAAUACCCAGCUAAGAUCGUGAACGUUUUCUACUCUAUCUUUCUCCUAAAUGCUUCAUUCCAGUGAAAAGUGCUGCAAUUCGUACGGCAAUGGCACCUCUGCCGAUAAUUACAUGGAAAUACUCCCAAAUUAAUCUCUUUGUGGAAGCGUCCUCCUCAUUAGCAGGUUUCUCCGGUCUGAGAUAUGCAUUCAUUGGUUGCACAAAGGCAAAAACUAUGGCAGCAAUACCAAGCUUAACAUGUAAGGAGCUGACAUAGAAACCCCGAAGUUCGGCAACUGCAAAAAGAACACCAAGUAGGAUAAUUGCUAAUCCUGAAUAUUGUAGGUACAUACCAUCCAUCACCCUUUACAUGUUUUAGGUAUCUAGCAGCCAAUAUUCCACCAGGAAUCAAAAUACCCCAGGAGAGGAACAGCAUAAACCCAUGUACAGCUUUGACAGGUUGUAAACCUUGCUCAGCCUCGGAAGAACUACGGAUAAGCAGCACUUGCACAGCCCUUUGACUCGUGACAGUAUGCAUGUUUUUCUCACUGAGAUGUUCAUCAGUCCAUUUUGAACCCAUUGCCCGUAUGACUUUAAGAGGAGUUGUAGGAUCAAAAAUGUUCUUGCACUCUGGCUUAUCAUUUUGAUUGCAUGAUGGUUUUAAUGGACGUGUGAAUUCCAAAGUAAUGAUGCCAUCUUCUGACCUGCACCUGACAUGUGUUAGAUUCUCAUUUGUUAGAUGGAUGUUCAAGGGAUGCUUUCCAUCAAUCCAAUAUGUAUUUAAAUGCCCUUUUCCAGUAUCGCCAAUCCAGCCCACAUAUGCAUAGCUAUUCACCAUCCCAUUACCGAAACCUAUUGCAAGAUAGCCACUCCUAUUCACACCACGGGCAGCAAUAGUUAUUGAAUCUUCUGAUAACGUCCAAAAGAAAGUAACUUGAUCAUCUAAAAGCACACUAGUGUUAUACAUAUCAGACAGGGCACCAUCAAGAACCAUAUUAUUAAUACCCAGCUAAGAUCGUGAACGUUUUCUACUCUAUCUUUCUCCUAAAUGCUUCAUUCCAGUGAAAAGUGCUGCAAUUCGUACGGCAAUGGCACCUCUGCCGAUAAUUACAUGGAAAUACUCCCAAAUUAAUCUCUUUGUGGAAGCGUCCUCCUCAUUAGCAGGUUUCUCCGGUCUGAGAGAUGCAUUCAUUGGUUGCACAAAGGCAAAAACUAUGGCAGCAAUACCAAGCUUAACAUGUAAGGAGCUGACAUAGAAACCCCGAAGUUCGGCAACUGCAAAAAGAACACCAAGUAGGAUAAUUGCUAAUCCUGAAUAUUGUAGGUACAUACCAUCCAUCACCCUUUACAUGUUUUAGGUAUCUAGCAGCCAAUAUUCCACCAGGAAUCAAAAUACCCCAGGAGAGGAACAGCAUAAACCCAUGUACAGCUUUGACAGGUUGUAAACCUUGCUCAGCCUCGGAAGAACUACGGAUAAGCAGCACUUGCACAGCCCUUUGACUCGUGACAGUAUGCAUGUUUUUCUCACUGAGAUGUUCAUCAGUCCAUUUUGAACCCAUUGCCCGUAUGACUUUAAGAGGAGUUGUAGGAUCAAAAAUGUUCUUGCACUCUGGCUUAUCAUUUUGAUUGCAUGAUGGUUUUAAUGGACGUGUGAAUUCCAAAGUAAUGAUGCCAUCUUCUGACCUGCACCUGACAUGUGUUAGAUUCUCAUUUGUUAGAUGGAUGUUCAAGGGAUGCUUUCCAUCAAUCCAAUAUGUAUUUAAAUGCCCUUUUCCAGUAUCGCCAAUCCAGCCCACAUAUGCAUAGCUAUUCACCAUCCCAUUACCGAAACCUAUUGCAAGAUAGCCACUCCUAUUCACACCACGGGCAGCAAUAGUUAUUGAAUCUUCUGAUAACGUCCAAAAGAAAGUAACUUGAUCAUCUAAAAGCACACUAGUGUUAUACAUAUCAGACAGGGCACCAUCAAGAACCAUAUUAUUAAUACCCAGCUAAGAUCGUGAACGUUUUCUACUCUAUCUUUCUCCUAAAUGCUUCAUUCCAGUGAAAAGUGCUGCAAUUCGUACGGCAAUGGCACCUCUGCCGAUAAUUACAUGGAAAUACUCCCAAAUUAAUCUCUUUGUGGAAGCGUCCUCCUCAUUAGCAGGUUUCUCCGGUCUAAGAUAUGCAUUCAUUGGUUGCACAAAGGCAAAAACUAUGGCAGCAAUACCAAGCUUAACAUGUAAGGAGCUGACAUAGAAACCCCGAAGUUCGGAAACUGCAAAAAGAACACCAAGUAGGAUAAUUGCUAAUCCUGAAUAUUGUAGGUACAUACCAUCCAUCACCCUUUACAUGUUUUAGGUAUCUAGCAGCCAAUAUUCCACCAGGAAUCAAAAUACCCCAGGAGAGGAACAGCAUAAACCCAUGUACAGCUUUGACAGGUUGUAAACCUUGCUCAGCCUCGGAAGAACCACGGAUAAGCAGCACUUGCACAACCCAUUGACUCGUGACAGUAUGCAUGUUUUUCUCACUGAGAUGUUCAUCAGUCCAUUUUGAACCCAUUGCCCGUAUGACUUUAAGAGGAGUUGUAGGAUCAAAAAUGUUCUUGCACUCUGGCUUAUCAUUUUGAUUGCAUGAUGGUUUUAAUGGACGUGUGAAUUCCAAAGUAAUGAUGCCAUCUUCUGACCUGCACCUGACAUGUGUUAGAUUCUCAUUUGUUAGAUGGAUGUUCAAGGGAUGCUUUCCAUCAAUCCAAUAUGUAUUUAAAUGCCCUUUUCCAGUAUCGCCAAUCCAGCCCACAUAUGCAUAGCUAUUCACCAUCCCAUUACCGAAACCUAUUGCAAGAUAGCCACUCUUAUUCACACCACGGGCAGCAAUAGUUAUUGAAUCUUCUGAUAACGUCCAAAAGAAAGUAACUUGAUCAUCUAAAAGCACACUAGUGUUAUACAUAUCAGACAGGGCACCAUCAAGAACCAUAUUAUUAAUACCCAGCUAAGAUCGUGAACGUUUUCUACUCUAUCUUUCUCCUAAAUGCUUCAUUCCAGUGAAAAGUGCUGCAAUUCGUACGGCAAUGGCACCUCUGCCGAUAAUUACAUGGAAAUACUCCCAAAUUAAUCUCUUUGUGGAAGCGUCCUCCUCAUUAGCAGGUUUCUCCGGUCUGAGAUAUUCAUUCAUUGGUUGCACAAAGGCAAAAACUAUGGCAGCAAUACCAAGCUUAACAUGUAAGGAGCUGACAUAGAAACCCCGAAGUUCGGCAACUGCAAAAAGAACACCAAGUAGGAUAAUUGCUAAUCCUGAAUAUUGUAGGUACAUACCAUCCAUCACCCUUUACAUGUUUUAGGUAUCUAGCAGCCAAUAUUCCACCAGGAAUCAAAAUUCCCCAGGAGAGGAACAGCAUAAACCCAUGUACAGCUUUGACAGGUUGUAAACCUUGCUCAGCCUCGGAAGAACCACGGAUAAGCAGCACUUGCACAGCCCUUUGACUCGUGACAGUAUGCAUGUUUUUCUCACUGAGAUGUUCAUCAGUCCAUUUUGAACCCAUUGCCCGUAUGACUUUAAGAGGAGUUGUAGGAUCAAAAAUGUUCUUGCACUCUGGCUUAUCAUUUUGAUUGCAUGAUGGUUUUAAUGGACGUGUGAAUUCCAAAGUAAUGAUGCCAUCUUCUGACCUGCACCUGACAUGUGUUAGAUUCUCAUUUGUUAGAUGGAUGUUCAAGGGAUGCUUUCCAUCAAUCCAAUAUGUAUUUAAAUGCCCUUUUCCAGUAUCGCCAAUCCAGCCCACAUAUGCAUAGCUAUUCACCAUCCCAUUACCGAAACCUAUUGCAAGAUAGCCACUCUUAUUCACACCACGGGCAGCAAUAGUUAUUGAAUCUUCUGAUAACGUCCAAAAGAAAGUAACUUGAUCAUCUAAAAGCACACUAGUGUUAUACAUAUCAGACAGGGCACCAUCAAGAACCAUAUUAUUAAUACCAGCUAAGAUCGUGAACGUUUUCUACUCUAUCUUUCUCCUAAAUGCUUCAUUCCAGUGAAAAGUGCUGCAAUUCGUACGGCAAUGGCACCUCUACCGAUAAUUACAUGGAAAUACUCCCAAAUUAAUCUCUUUGUGGAAGCGUCCUCCUCAUUAGCAGGUUUCUCCGGUCUGAGAUAUGCAUUCAUUGGUUGCACAAAGGCAAAAACUAUGGCAGCAAUACCAAGCUUAACAUGUAAGGAGCUGACAUAGAAACCCCGAAGUUCGGCAACUGCAAAAAGAACACCAAGUAGGAUAAUUGCUAAUCCUGAAUAUUGUAGGUACAUACCAUCCAUCACCCUUUACAUGUUUUAGGUAUCUAGCAGCCAAUAUUCCACCAGGAAUCAAAAUACCCCAGGAGAGGAACAGCAUAAACCCAUGUACAGCUUUGACAGGUUGUAAACCUUGCUCAGCCUCGGAAGAACCACGGAUAAGCAGCACUUGCACAGCCCUUUGACUCGUGACAGUAUGCAUGUUUUUCUCACUGAGAUGUUCAUCAGUCCAUUUUGAACCCAUUGCCCGUAUGACUUUAAGAGGAGUUGUAGGAUCAAAAAUGUUCUUGCACUCUGGCUUAUCAUUUUGAUUACAUGAUGGUUUUAAUGGACGUGUGAAUUCCAAAGUAAUGAUGCCAUCUUCUGACCUGCACCUGACAUGUGUUAGAUUCUCAUUUGUUAGAUGGAUGUUCAAGGGAUGCUUUCCAUCAAUCCAAUAUGUAUUUAAAUGCCCUUUUCCAGUAUCGCCAAUCCAGCCCACAUAUGCAUAGCUAUUCACCAUCCCAUUACCGAAACCUAUUGCAAGAUAGCCACUCUUAUUCACACCACGGGCAGCAAUAGUUAUUGAAUCUUCUGAUAACGUCCAAAAGAAAGUAACUUGAUCAUCUAAAAGCACACUAGUGUUAUACAUAUCAGACAGGGCACCAUCAAGAACCAUAUUAUUAAUACCCAGCUAAGAUCGUGAACGUUUUCUACUCUAUCUUUCUCCUAAAUGCUUCAUUCCAGUGAAAAGUGCUGCAAUUCGUACGGCAAUGGCACCUCUGCCGAUAAUUACAUGGAAAUACUCCCAAAUUAAUCUCUUUGUGGAAGCGUCCUCCUCAUUAGCAGGUUUCUCCGGUCUGAGAUAUGCAUUCAUUGGUUGCACAAAGGCAAAAACUAUGGCAGCAAUACCAAGCUUAACAUGUAAGGAGCUGACAUAGAAACCCCGAAGUUCGGCAACUGCAAAAAGAACACCAAGUAGGAUAAUUGCUAAUCCUGAAUAUUGUAGGUACAUACCAUCCAUCACCCUUUACAUGUUUUAGGUAUCUAGCAGCCAAUAUUCCACCAGGAAUCAAAAUACCCCAGGAGAGGAACAGCAUAAACCCAUGUACAGCUUUGACAGGUUGUAAACCUUGCUCAGCCUCGGAAGAACCACGGUUAAGCAGCACUUGCACAGCCCUUUGACUCGUGACAGUAUGCAUGUUUUUCUCACUGAGAUGUUCAUCAGUCCAUUUUGAACCCAUUGCCCGUAUGACUUUAAGAGGAGUUGUAGGAUCAAAAAUGUUCUUGCACUCUGGCUUAUCAUUUUGAUUGCAUGAUGGUUUUAAUGGACGUGUGAAUUCCAAAGUAAUGAUGCCAUCUUCUGACCUGCACCUGACAUGUGUUAGAUUCUCAUUUGUUAGAUGGAUGUUCAAGGGAUGCUUUCCAUCAAUCCAAUAUGUAUUUAAAUGCCCUUUUCCAGUAUCGCCAAUCCAGCCCACAUAUGCAUAGCUAUUCACCAUCCCAUUACCGAAACCUAUUGCAAGAUAGCCACUCUUAUUCACACCACGGGCAGCAAUAGUUAUUGAAUCUUCUGAUAACGUCCAAAAGAAAGUAACUUGAUCAUCUAAAAGCACACUAGUGUUAUACAUAUCAGACAGGGCACCAUCAAGAACCAUAUUAUUAAUACCCAGCUAAGAUCGUGAACGUUUUCUACUCUAUCUUUCUCCUAAAUGCUUCAUUCCAGUGAAAAGUGCUGCAAUUCGUACGGCAAUGGCACCUCUGCCGAUAAUUACAUGGAAAUACUCCCAAAUUAAUCUCUUUGUGGAAGCGUCCUCCUCAUUAGCAGGUUUCUCCGGUCUGAGAUAUGCAUUCAUUGGUUGCACAAAGGCAAAAACUAUGGCAGCAAUACCAAGCUUAACAUGUAAGGAGCUGACAUAGAAACCCCGAAGUUCGGCAACUGCAAAAAGAACACCAAGUAGGAUAAUUGCUAAUCCUGAAUAUUGUAGGUACAUACCAUCCAUCACCCUUUACAUGUUUUAGGUAUCUAGCAGCCAAUAUUCCACCAGGAAUCAAAAUACCCCAGGAGAGGAACAGCAUAAACCCAUGUACAGCUUUGACAGGUUGUAAACCUUGCUCAGCCUCGGAAGAACCACGGAUAAGCAGCACUUGCACAGCCCUUUGACUCGUGACAGUAUGCAUGUUUUUCUCACUGAGAUGUUCAUCAGUCCAUUUUGAACCCAUUGCCCGUAUGACUUUAAGAGGAGUUGUAGGAUCAAAAAUGUUCUUGCACUCUGGCUUAUCAUUUUGAUUGCAUGAUGGUUUUAAUGGACGUGUGAAUUCCAAAGUAAUGAUGCCAUCUUCUGACCUGCACCUGACAUGUGUUAGAUUCUCAUUUGUUAGAUGGAUGUUCAAGGGAUGCUUUCCAUCAAUCCAAUAUGUAUUUAAAUGCCCUUUUCCAGUAUCGCCAAUCCAGCCCACAUAUGCAUAGCUAUUCACCAUCCCAUUACCGAAACCUAUUGCAAGAUAGCCACUCUUAUUCACACCACGGGCAGCAAUAGUUAUUGAAUCUUCUGAUAACGUCCAAAAGAAAGUAACUUGAUCAUCUAAAAGCACACUAGUGUUAUACAUAUCAGACAGGGCACCAUCAAGAACCAUAUUAUUAAUACCCAGCUAAGAUCGUGAACGUUUUCUACUCUAUCUUUCUCCUAAAUGCUUCAUUCCAGUGAAAAGUGCUGCAAUUCGUACGGCAAUGGCACCUCUGCCGAUAAUUACAUGGAAAUACUCCCAAAUUAAUCUCUUUGUGGAAGCGUCCUCCUCAUUAGCAGGUUUCUCCGGUCUGAGAUAUGCAUUCAUUGGUUGCACAAAGGCAAAAACUAUGGCAGCAAUACCAAGCUUAACAUGUAAGGAGCUGACAUAGAAACCCCGAAGUUCGGCAACUGCAAAAAGAACACCAAGUAGGAUAAUUGCUAAUCCUGAAUAUUGUAGGUACAUACCAUCCAUCACCCUUUACAUGUUUUAGGUAUCUAGCAGCCAAUAUUCCACCAGGAAUCAAAAUACCCCAGGAGAGGAACAGCAUAAACCCAUGUACAGCUUUGACAGGUUGUAAACCUUGCUCAGCCUCGGAAGAACCACGGAUAAGCAGCACUUGCACAGCCUUUUGACUCGUGACAGUAUGCAUGUUUUUCUCACUGAGAUGUUCAUCAGUCCAUUUUGAACCCAUUGCCCGUAUGACUUUAAGAGGAGUUGUAGGAUCAAAAAUGUUCUUGCACCCUGGCUUAUCAUUUUGAUUGCAUGAUGGUUUUAAUGGACGUGUGAAUUCCAAAGUAAUGAUGCCAUCUUCUGACCUGCACCUGACAUGUGUUAGAUUCUCAUUUGUUAGAUGGAUGUUCAAGGGAUGCUUUCCAUCAAUCCAAUAUGUAUUUAAAUGCCCUUUUCCAGUAUCGCCAAUCCAGCCCACAUAUGCAUAGCUAUUCACCAUCCCAUUACCGAAACCUAUUGCAAGAUAGCCACUCUUAUUCACACCACGGGCAGCAAUAGUUAUUGAAUCUUCUGAUAACGUCCAAAAGAAAGUAACUUGAUCAUCUAAAAGCACACUAGUGUUAUACAUAUCAGACAGGGCACCAUCAAAAACUUGAAGUUUCCAUCCCAUCUUCUCCUGGUACAAGGACUGAUAAUACACUUGAUCGGGGGUAUUCCUAUCGGGAACCCAAAUCAAUUCGUGAGGAUUUGCUACAACUCCUUCCGCUCCUGGCCCUCCAGGAUAAAUAGUCUCAGUUGCAUUCCUUAAUGUAGCAUUCCCACCUGAAGAAUCUGAAGUAAUAUACAAUGCAACAUCAUGCCCUGCCUGCACCAAAAACUUAACUGGAACCCCCCUUUCCACUCUCAACACGGUGUUUACUUAUUAUUAAUAUACAAAACCUUAGACGGACUUGGCGGAUUUGGAUAAUGCAACACCUCCCCUGUUGUAGCAACAAGAGGGACUUCUGUAUCAGCAACAAUCAACUCUUGAUCCUCAUUAUCAUCAGCAUCCAAUGGCCCAAAACAAUCAUCUACCUUCUCUGAAACAUUAAGCACCAAAUGUCCUUAUGCAACCUUCUCUGGACCCCCAUGAAAUUGGGGCAAAAAAUGAGACCGAUUUUCAUUUGGUGGUUUCAUCAACCCUAAUGCCCAAAUAACCCUCAUAUCCUCAUUAGGAUACACAGGCAAAUCAUACUUCUUAUCUGUCGAAUUCAAUGGUUUCCUAAACAUAAUUAAAGAAACCCCAUCUCUCCUAUGUCCAUAAACCAACCUAGUAUUAUUCACCAUCAUGCCAUUUUUCGAGUUCUCAUAAACUACAUCAGGGCAAACACCUAUAGCUGUCCGGUCUUUAGAACUCAACUUACAUUCAGUAUAAGCCGUAAUGUAAAAAUCAUCAACAAAAGGCCUACCUUCCUCAGUAAAACUUGCCACCGUAACAUCAGCUUCGGACAUCAGCUCCUUCGUCCUAUUCGGAUUCGCCCACCCAAAUGCCAUGUAAUAGGUCGUCGGCGCCGCCGCGUCUAACCCGAUCUCAAUCCAAUUUUCCUCCACAUUCAAGUUCCACCGGACCCUAUAAUUAUCCGACAAGUUCUUGCAGUUAUCAAACACUGUAUGCACCGAGUCCGAAACUGAAUCCAACCCGUUUCGAGGGAGGGUGACAUGGCCGAAGUCCGAGGUGCUGGCGAUCUCCCAGAUUGAAAGAACGUUGAUCUGGUCCCAGGUUAUGUCGGGGAGCAAUUGGACUGAAAACGAUGCAUUUUUGUAAGCUGUUUGAUUGAGGCGUUGACCGGAGAUGGGGAACCCACUGGUGAGGUCAGAGAAGUUGAGGGAGACGGCGCCCCAGAAAACGACGUCGGAUGAGCCAGAUAACAUGUCGAAUCCGGUGACCUGGAAAGAGCCGGAUAAACGUCCCAGCUGUUUGAUUUUGUUGGUUGUGACAAUUAUUUAGUAUAACAACUACACUUGCAAUAAUUACGAUCUUCAUCCUGCUAAAUAUACCGGAGAAAAUCAAUUUUCCAGUUGCUUCGGAUCUUUAAAAAAAAAAAUUGAACAUGAAAUGAAAGCAACUCUAAAUGCAAGACUUAAGUGAACUUUCUUUAUCAAACAAAGAAUUAACACUUCCAUCUCCAUCAUUUUCAUUAUUUUUUACUCAGAAUCAAUGAAAAGAAAAGAAAAAAAAAGGUUAAGGUGAGGAUAGUAAUUACAUUAUUAAUGUUCAUUUUUUUAAUAAUUCAAAAAAUUAUAUUGUAUAUAAUGUAUAUUAUUUUUUCAAUUAAUAUAAAAAAUAAUAGUUCAAAAAAAUGCACUACUAAUAUAAAACAUAUAUAACGAAUUAACUGAUAACCAAAAUUUAAAAAAAUCACUAACCAACCUCCAACUGAACUAAAUUCGACAACCAACCAAAUAACCAAAUUAGAUCUAUUCAAUUGAUUGGUUAGAUUUUAACCGAACCAUGAAUACACCUAUAUUCGGGGCUCUUUCAUUGCAUUUUGCUAUCAUUUUGUUUGUCCAAUUAUAAAAAGUUCGAAUAAAUAUAAAAAAAUUUGAUUUAUUAAAAUGGGUAAAUAUUCCAAGAAGUAUUUUACAUAUUUAAAAAUUUAUAUAUUUAUAUUAAUGGUUGAAAAUGUGAUAACUUCAGACGGAAGAUUGAAACCGUUAACACAGUCAAAGAGCCUAGGAGAGAAUCCAUAGAACAAUCCUACAUGUUGACUUUGCCGAUAUUUAUCAUAAACAGUUGAACAGUUCCCAUCAAAAGUCAAAAGUAUAAACUAAUCAAUGAAAAAGAAGAAGCUGUUCUUCUAACUUGUUACUUUGGAUAAACCAAGUGCUUCACCUUUUGAAUUCCAUCUUCUAGAUUUUGAUUUCUAGAUAACAUACACAGAUAAAUCACAAGAAUGUAUAAGCAACAUAAAUAUAUUUAAAACGAAAAAAUCUCGGGUUUGAUUAUGGGGUGCCUAACUGUUUACCAGUCGAACUGCUAUUGUAUGCUUGAUCGACCAAAGGACGGAAAACUCGAUUAAAAUGGCUUGAAUGAAUGAUCUGAUAUGGUGGCUAGAUUACUGAGAGAUUUGCAAGCAGUCAACAAAGGAAAUGGGUCAUUUAUUGAAUGUAAAUUACAUACCUACAUCGGUCAUCGGUAUUCUGCUUCGAAAAUUCAUCUUUAGACAUGUGCUUCUCUGCAAAGAACACCUUUCAUGUCACCAGAAAAAGCUAUGCUCGUCUUUCUUGCAAUCAUAUCGAUAAUCUGUAACAUUAUGAGUCGAACAAAUAAAGGGAAACAGCCAAAAUGAUGAUACUGACAUAGUUACAGCUGAAUUUACCUAUGUCACUCCGACUCUUGACGUUCAUUUUCCCUUGAGUAUUUAUCCAGCACAUAUUCAGACAUGGAUAUGGAGAUAUAAUCCUACAAAUAUCGGGAAAAUUACAAAAGUUAAACAUAUUCAUAUCUUACUUCAGAGUCCGAGUAAGAGGAAUUUACAAUAAGUACCUGUAGGAACAUUUUAGGAGUCUUGGCAUGUGGGUUGACUUAACUUUAUAACCACCUUCAACAAUUGGUUGAUUGAAUCUUUUACCUCAUCCGGAACGGUGAGUUUUGCAGGCACUAAAUCUAAAACAUACAAAGUGAUAACUUUCAUUACAUCAACCAGAAGCAAACUGUUGGUACCGAUUCCCCAUACACUCUUAUUAGCAUACUCGCAUGAAUCCUUUAACAUGCAUCGACUGCAUACCUGAAGAGAUCACCCAUCAGUAAAACAAACAACAUAGGAAGAUUUGUACUCAGUAUAGUAAACAUUGGAAUAAUGGCUUACAGUGUUUUCUUGAAUUUUAAAGAACUUGCGCAAUCUCUUAGCAGCGAAGACAUUAUUUUUAUCAAGGGAAGCGCAACCAAAGAGCACCACUUUUUUCAAGUGACUUCCCGGCAACCAUCUGCAAAUACCAAUAUCGAAGGUUACUUUAUUUACAAGAAGCAAAAGGACAGUCAUUGAAGUAAUGAUUCCCCAAAGCGAUGGCAAGGAGAUGAGCUAUAUAUAAAAGCAAGAUAUAUUAAUAGAUCAACUGCAUCGGUGUACAUAUGGUUGACCAUAUCAUAUCAAGUCAAAAAUUAUGCUACAAUCAUUGAUUGAUAAAAUCUGUCACACCUGAUUUUUUGUCAAACACAUAGAAACCAACUUUGCACAAUUUUAGUAGAACAUCAUAUAGCUCUGCCAAACAUAUGCUGCUAUUAUGUACUUAAUUACUAACAUUGAUUUUAAGUGAAGGUUCAGUGCAAAUCUGCCAGCUUUGCAAUGCUUGAAUCUAAGACCGCAUUCUUACAGCAUGCUAUGGCUAAAUCUCUUGAUAAUUUGACUGAAGAAUGCAGAGAAUUUUUAUAAUACCUCUAAAGUUUAUUUGUAUAAGGGGAGGGUUUAGGGUUGUCCAAGGAUUGAACCCAAGAUUGGUAUCAAUUAAAUACUUGAUAUCAAGUCUUUUGCCACUCAACCUAUGGUUCGGUCCAGAUGAAUAUCUCUAAUAUAACUACAUGAAAAAGAGAUGCUUGACUAUACACUUAUGUCUAUGAAUACCAGUAGUUUUGCACAUAUGUAUGCAUCUAUGCACUUAAAUAUGAUUAUCCCUCUUUCCCUAGUUUCUGAAUUUCUUUUUUAAGUUUUCCUAUAUACCCUCUUACACCAUAACUAUACAAUAUGCAUAAGCUCAAUUCUUUUUAUAUGUUUUUCUAUAUAUAUAUAUAUAUCCUAUAUCCUAGCUCGAACUCUAGUACUUAAGGAAAAAUGAACAGUAACAAUGAAGUAAGAAACUAAUAUUAUCAAUCCACCUAGUUAUUAUAAAUUCAUUUGAAAAAUGCAAAAUAACCAUAAUCUCAAACUCCACUUUCCCCUACAAUGUUAAGAACAACCAAAUAAAACAUCAAGUACAUCAAUCAGCCAACAUGAAUAAAAAAACAUUAACAAUUGUCAAACAAUGUCAAAUCCAAAUUAAAAAAGAAAAAAAGGAGAAAACAAAAGUUCUUACUUUGCAAUAUCUUGAUGAUCUUUACCAAAAUUGUAAGCAGCAAACUUGAUAAAAUCCCUGCCAUAACUAUUCUCAAAGUAACCAAAAUCCAACUUGUUGUCUUCCACAAAACUAGCCUCCUUAAAAUACCCUUUUGUAUACAAAUGCCUGAUGAAAAUCUCAGCUAACUGUGAAAGACCCUUCAAAGCUCUUACCUUUUCCCUUUCUCUUCUAGCUUUCAUCUUCUUUUUCAUCUUUUCUUCUUUGUUUUCAUCCCCAAUAAACUCAACCAAACACUUGAAUUUCUUGGGUCUUUUCCCCUCUAAUUUCUCUGUUUCUUUCUUUUUCCCUUUUGGGUUUUCUUUGAAAUUCCUAAAUUCUUUCACCGACUCAUUGAUUUCGCCUUUUCUCCGGGUUUCAGUUCCUGCGGGUUUUACUGUUAAAACAGUGUCUCGAAACAACAGAGAAAGUGGGGUCUUGGUUGGUAGCUGGGAAGAGGAAUUAAGGGUUCUUCUGAUUAUGAAGGAUGGUGAAGGACAAAGGGUUUUGUAAAGAGGAUUGUGGAUUUUGAGGAGAACUUUGGUACGCGUAGACAGAAUGAAAGCUUUGAAGAGAUACAUUUUGCAGCGGAAGGGUUUAAGAUUAAAAGGAGGGUCUUUUCUGCAGAGGAGCUUAGGGAUCUUAAAUACACAUCCAUCUUUUUAUUACUUAAAAAAUUACUUAUUUAUUAAUAUUAAUCUAUUUUUGUAACUAAAUUUAAAUAAAAUUUUAUUAAAUAAAUAGCAAUUUAAGCUAAAAUGUUCAAUAAAGCUAGGCGAUUUCAAGUGUUAUUAUUUGAAGGUUUGAUUCUUCAAUGUGAUAAUUUUCAAAUUAAAAAAAUCUUUGGGGGUUAGGCGAUUUAUGCUUUAAUUCCCAUUAAAUACCAAUAAAUUUUGCUUAAUUGAAAGCUUAUUUCAUUACUAUGAGAAAACCAAAAACAUUGGUAAGAAGUAUUGAAUCAAUAAAUUAAAAAAAAAUUAAUACAAUACUUUUUACUGGAUUUUUUUAAUUAAAAAAAGUCCCUAACUUUUGUAUUUUCUUCAUUGGCAAGGGGCUUAUCCAUUGAGAUGGCAAAGCUAGCAACCUUUUGCCCAACAAAAAAGAGGAAAUGAAGCACUCGGAUUCUGGUGUUUCAGCUUGCAUGUUUGAUUCCGGCGAUCGACAAUGGUGUCAAAAUACAAGUACAGGGAGUCCUUGUUGGAUGGCAACCAAAGUUUUGGAGCCCGGAACUGGAUACAACUUCAAGGCUGAUAUAUGGUUGUUUGGGAUGUUUAGUUGGAGUUGGCUCAUGGUCGUCCGCCCUUGUCGAUAUAUCUGCCAACAAAGGCUCAUGACUGAAUUAUGUUUGACAUAUUUGAAGUUCUCGAAGCCGUUUAAAGACAUGGUUGCAAUGUGGUUGGUGAAAGAUCAAACCAAGGGGCCAACUGUAGAUAAAUUGUUGAAGCACUUGUUUCUCAAGCAUGCAAAGCCUACUCAGCUUGCUUUAAAGAAGCUAUUAGACUUCCAGGUGAGUGUCUACUUUAACAUAAGCUUAUUUUGCCACCAAAAGCAAAAUUAUCACAAAGAAAGUGAAACAAAAAGGGGAAAAAAACUGACUGUAUAUUUCCGUGUAUUAAGAGUUCAAGAUAACAGAAAAUUAAGGUCUAUUUCAAUCAAGAGAAAUAAGGUACGAUAAAUUGAUCAAGAGUAUCAAAAAGAAUUAUCAAGAGUAAAGGUGUAUCAAGUAUACAAAAUACAUGUUGGUAGAAAAAAGAAUUAUCAAGAGUAAAGCUCUACUUACAGUGGGGAAAGCCGUCCGAGAAAAAAGCAGCUCCAUGUUAGUAAGAAGCUUUCAAAACUGGUGAAGAAUGGAGCUUUUUUAUAUUCAAAAAGAAAAAAUAUAUUAUAUGAAUAAAUCUAUCUGUUCAAUGGCUCUAACUGUACUUCAAUUACUCCAGAACUUUGUGAACCUUUUCGAGCAGAAGCGUCGUUCAGGCUUAAAAGGUCAAUGGAAUCCUCUUCUUUGACGUUGCCGAGAACCCAGUUGUUCCUUCCUUGUAAUCUAUCUCUCUGUUGUCUUUCACGAUACUCCAGAUAAAUUACAGUCAAUGCAGCAAUCAAGAACCAUAUUAUUAAUACCCAGCUAAGAUCGUGGACGUUUUCUACUCUAUAUCUUUCUCCUAAAUGCUUCAUUCCAGUGAAAAGUGCUGCAAUUCCUAUGGCAAUGGCACCUCUGCCGAUAAUUAAAUUAAUCUCUUUGUGGAAGCAUCCUCCCCAUUAGCAGGUUUCUCCGGUCUGAGAUAUGCAUUCAUUGGUUGCACAGAGGCAAAAACUAUGGCAGCAAUACCAAGCUUAACAUGUAACGAGCUAACAUAGAAACCCCGAAGUUCGGCAACUGCAAAAAGAACACCAAGUAGGAUAAUUGCUAAUCCUGAAUAUUGUAGGUAAAUAUGAAUUUGGUACCAUCCAUCACCCUUUACAUGUUUUAGGUAUCUAGCAGCCAAUAUUCCACCAGGAAUCAAAAUACCCCAGGAGAGGAACAUCAUAAACCCAUGUACAGCUAAGACAGGUUGUAAACCUUGCUCAGCCUCAGAAGAACCACGGAUAAGCAGCACUUGCACAGGCCUUUGACUCGUGACCGUAUGCAUGUUUUUCUCACUGAGAUGAUCAUCAGUCCACUUUGAACCUAUUGCCCAUAUGACUUUAAGAGGAGUUGUAGGAUCAACAAUGUUCUUGCACUCUGGCUUAUCAUUUUGAUUGCAUGAUGGUUUUAAUGGACGUGUGAAUUCCAAAGUAAUGAUGCCAUCUUCUGACCUGCACCUGACAUGUGUCAGAUUCUCAUUUGUUGGAUGGAUGUUCAAGGGACGCUUUCCAUCAAUCCAAUAUGUAUUUAAAUGCCCUUUUCCAGUAUCGCCAAUCCAGCCCACAUAUGCAUAGCUAUUCACCAUCCCAUUACCGAAACCUAUUGCAAGAUAGCCACUCUUCUUCACGCCACGGGCAGCAAUAGUUAUUGAAUCUUCUGAUAACGUCCAAAAGAAAGUGACUUGUUGAUCAUCUAAAAGCACACUAUUGUUAUACAUAUCGGACAGGGCACCAUCAACAACUUGAACUUUCCAUCCCAUCUUCUCCUGGUACAAGGACUGAUAAUACACUUGAUCGGGGGUAUUCCUAUCGGGAACCCAAAUCAAUUCGUGAGGAUUUGCUACAACUCCUUCCGCUUCUGGCCCUCCAGAAUAAAUAGUCUCAGUUGCAUUCCUUAAUGUAGCAUUCCCACCAAGAGAAUCUGAAGUAAUAUACAAUGCAACAUCAUGCCCUGCCUGCACCAAAAACUUAACUGGCACCCCUCUUUCCACUCUCAACACCGGUGCUUCCUUAUUAUUAAUAUACAAAACCUUAGACGGACUUGGCGGAUUUGGAUAAUGCAACACCUCCCCUGUUGUAACAACAAGGGGGACUUCUGUAUCAGCAAUAAUCAACUCUUGAUCCUCAUUAUCAUCAGCAUCCAAUGGCCCAAAACAAUCAUCUACCUUCUCUGAAACAUUAAGAACCAAGUGUCCAUAUGCAACCUUCUCUGGACCCCCAUGAAAUUGGGGCAAAAAAUGAGACCGAUUUUCAUUUGGUGGUUUCAUCAACCCUAAUGCCCAAAUAACCCUCAUAUCCUCAUUAGGAUACACAGGCAAAUCAUACUUCUUAUCUGUCGAAUUCAAUGGUUUCCUAAACAUAAUUAAAGAAACCCCAUCUCUCCUAUGUCCAUAAACCAACCUAGUAUUAUUCACCAUCAUGCCAUUUUUCGAGUUCUCAUAAACUACAUCAGGGCAAACACCUAUAGCUGUCCGGUCUUUAGAACUCAACUUACAUUCAGUAUAAGCCGUAAUGUAAAAAUCAUCAACAAAAGGCCUACCUUCCUCAGUAAAACUUGCCACCGUAACAUCAGCUUCGGACAUCAGCUCCUUCGUCCUAUUCGGAUUCGCCCACCCAAAUGCCAUGUAAUAGGUCGUCGGCGCCGCCGCUUCUAACCCGAUCUCGAUCCAAUUUUCCUCCACAUUCAAGUUCCACCGGACCCUAUAAUUAUCCGACAAGUUCUUGCAGUUAUCAAACACUGUAUGCACCGAGUCCGAAACCGAAUCCGACCCGUUUCGAGGGAGGGUGACAUGGCCGAAGUCCGAGGUGCUGGCGAUGUCCCAGAUUGAAAGAACGUUGAUCUGGUCCCAGGUUAUGUCGGGGAGCAAUUGGACUGAAAACGAUGCGUUUUUUGUAAGCUGUUUGAUUGAGGCGUUGACCGGAGAUGGGGAACCCGCUGGUGAGGUCAGAGAAGUUGAGGGAGACGGUGCCCCAGAAAACGACGUCGGACGAGCAGGAUAACAUGUCGAAUCCGGUGACCUGGAAAGAGCAACCAUCGAGGAUUUUGAGAUGGCCACGGAGUUGGUGUCGGACCAUUGUGAAGUUCGAUUCGAACCCGACUAGGGAGCUGGUGUUGGAGCAUUUUUGACCCGAAUCCGCUUUGGAAGAGGCGAUGGAAUUGAUUAGGAAGAGCGAGAGUAGAAGGAAAAUUUUGGAAUUGUACAUUCGAAUCCGGUCGCGGGUGAUUCGAGAAUCCGAAUUCGGUGAUGAUGGAAAAUGAACGUUUUAAAGAGAAGGAAGGAGCCAAUGAGCGGCUGGUGGUGGUGAGUGGUGACUCGGUACAGCCGGAGCGAGUCGUCAACUUGUCUCGAUAUUGUUUUAUAAAUUUUUUUCCUGUUUUUCUGAAGAGAGGAAACCAGAAUCCCAACUAUCUUCUUAACUAUCAGUUUUUUAAUUUUAAUUUAGUUUAAAUUUUUUAAUUUAGUAGUCCAACUAAUGGAGAUUUUUUUUUGCCAAUUUCCGUAAUGAGAGGACAUGAUAAUUAAAAAUUAAUAUAAUAAUAAAUUUAAUUCUUAAUUUUUACAUUUUGUAUCAAUUUAAUCAUUAUUUUAAAAAAUUAAUUUUUAAAAUUUAUAAAUAAUCUCAAUUUGAUUAUCAAAAUUUACCUUUUCUUUCCACUUCCUCUGCUACCACUAUAUCAUUGCCUCUAGUUCCGCCUUCUCCUCCAUCUUUCUCCAAAAAAAAGAAUUUUUUUUUAAUCAUGUUCAAAUUUAAGGUAUUAUAAUUUAUUUUGUGUUAAGUUAGAUGAAGCCUAAGCAAUUUAAAUAUAUGUGCUACUAUUUAACAAUAAAUUAGGUUGAAAUAGAAAGAGGAAAGGUAAGUUUUUUUUGGGAGAAAGGUGGAGGUGGAGGUAAUGAUGGUAAUGGCCCGUGGUGAAGUAGAAGAGAAAAGUAAAUUUUGAGGAUCAAAUUGAGACUAUUUAUAAAAUUUAAGAGUUAAUUAUUUUAAAAAUUUGACUAAAUCAAUUUAAGAUAUAAAAUUUAAGAGCUAGAUUUAUAAUUAUACUCAUUUUUUAACUACCACAUUACUCUCCAUAGAGAUUUAAAGAAAUGGACAAAAAAAAAAUCUCAAUUAGUUGAAUGAUCAAAUUAAAAAAAUUCAUAAUUAGGUAACUAAAAAAGAAAAAGGGGAGAUAGUUGGGUGACUUGUGGUGUAGUUUACCCUAAUAAUAAAAUAUAAUAGGGUAAACUAUAGAAUUAGUCAUCCCACUAUUAGUGUGUUUCUGUUUUAGUCACCUAACUAUGAAAAUUUUCAAUUUUAUCACUAUCGUUUUAGAUCAUUUCUAUUUUGGUCACUCAUGUUUUAGAUCGUUUUUAUUUUAUUCACUCUUCAGUAAAUGGUUAACCAAAGUUAUGAUGUGACCUUUUUCAACUAGUAUAAAUAAUACAUUUAGUCUUUAAUACUUACACAUUUUAUCAAUUUGAUCCUCGAACACAUAUAAUUAAAUAUAAAGUAUAUAUUAUAAAAACGUACAAAAUAUAGUUAUUUAUAUAUAUUUAUCUAAAUAAUAUUUUAUGUUCUUAUAUUUAAUUAUAAUUAUAAGGUUCAAAUAUGCAUUUAGCCCCUCAAACUUGACACCUUCUCCCAUGUUGGUACUUAUGAUUUUUUGUCCCAAGUUGGUACCUAAAAAUUUAUUCCGUCAAGGGCUUUGAUACUUUUUUUUGUUACAAUACUAAAUAUAGGAAACAUGACACUCUUAGGAUGCCAUAAUCUAUUUUUUAUAAAAAAAUAAAAAAUUUAAAAGAAACUAUAUGAAAUUUAUAUAUAUUAUUAAAAUAUAAAAGAAAUUAUAAAUUAUAAAAAUAUAUGUAACUAAAAAAAUUAAAAAUAUUACAAAAAAAAUCUAAAAUUCAAGUUGGAAAAAUCGAAAACCUAGAAAAUUUACACAUUUUUCUAAAUAUAUUGCAAACAAAUUAGAUGAAGAUAAAUUAUAUAAUAAAUUUUAUACAUAGAGAUAGGUGUAAAUUAUUACACGAUUUUUCAAGUUAACAAGAAUGCAAAAGAUGAUGAUUUGAAAAUGGCUUACAAGAAGCUUUUUCGUUUUCCUUUUUUUUUUAAUUAUUUGCUAGGUGAUGGGAAAAAUUGAGUUCCUUUGUUGAAAAUGCUAUAAAAACCACAAAUUUACUAAGUUAUGGGGGUUUUGAGUUUUUGGGUUUAUCAAAAUCACACACACAUAUAAAUUUAUCAGCAUUUAGUUAUAUGUGUUUAAAUAUAAUCAUUUUUUAUAUUUAAUUAUAUGUGUUUGAGAAUAAAGUUGAUAGAAUUUGUAAAUAUGGAGGGUGAAAUUUAUUGAAUUAUUUAGAAUAAGAAUCAAAUUGAUAGAAUGUGUAAGUAUUAAGAAAUAAACAUGUUAUUAUUCUAGUUGGAAAAGGCAACAUCAUCACUUCCGUUAACUAUGUAACGGAGAGUGACCAAAAUAGAAACAAUCUAAAGUGUGAGUGACCAAAAUAGAAAUAAUAUAAAAUGUAAGUGACUAAAUAAAAAAAAUUCAUAGUUGGGUGACUAAUUCUAUAGUUUACCCUAGAUGGUAGAAGCAAUUAGGAUUAAUUCCACCAAACAUCUCAAACUAUUACUCAUAUUUUAAAUUGAAUCCUAAACUUGUACACAUUCUAAUAUUAAAUUACUCAAAUAGAAUGUGAUAACGUGUUAUGCUAUUAUUCAUCGAUAGUGCAUAGAAUUUAUGCACUAACAAUGCAUCAAAUAUUCUCAUUAAAAGAAAAUGUAUAAAAUAAGUUUUAUACCAUCUAUAAUUUGUAAAAAAAAAUUAUCCAAUAAAAAAUAUAAAAAUACAUAUCUAUAAUUUCACAAAAAGAGAAUUACAUUAAUCAACCUCACAAAAUAUACAUCUCACAAAUCUGAUUGAGAUUAAAAACAAAGAAUGCAUGUAUUGUGCAAUUAAAACCAUGAUCCAUAUUCAACUCUAAAGUACUGAACAUAUAAUUUUGCAUUAUUUUACCUCCCUUGAUUCUUCACAAACUCUUUGGAAUAAGUUAACCAUCUAUUCCUUAUUUCAAUUUUAUUAAAAAGAUAGGUUCCCAUAAAGACAGUCUUUACAAACCAGUGCACCUAUUAUAAACACAUCAGGGAACAUUGCCAUGAGAGAGGACCUAAGAAAACAUAAUACAAACUACAUAACAUACAAUCAAGCACCCACACAAAAUGUUUAUUAAACACCUACAGAAAAAGGCCUGCAUACCACCAAGCAAUGAAGUUUUCUGUUCCGUUUGCAACUUCUUGAUCUCGUCGAAGUGUUGGAUUCUCUACCUUUUUGCAAAUCUUUGUCGGACUCGCUCCACGAUCCUAAUCAACCACCAUGGUUUUCCAGUCGUGAAUACAAUGUAUGCCAUGCUCAUUCCCAGCACCAACCCACAUCCAUACCCCAUCAAUAUUGAAAAUUUCCAAUUCAAUUCAUCACCAUCAUCAUCUCUAUCAAAUUUGGCUGGAGUUUCCUCAUCAGUACCACAGUUUUUUGAUAAUGGCAAACCACAUAAAUCCAAAUUUCCCAUGUAGGAAUCGUUAGUGAAAGUAUCAAAUUGUUUGCCUUGAGGAAUGGGUCCCUUGAGAUUAUUUUGAGAAAGGUUUAACACCUCUAAGAAUCCAAGACUUUUUAACUCUGUUGGAAUUCUUCCUUCCAGCUUAUUUGAUGAGAGAUCUAAUGAUUCAAGCUCUGGCAAAUUACCUAAAGAUGAUGGGAUAGGACCUACUAAACAGUUAUGGGAGAGGUUUAGGACAAUAAGUAAAUGAAGCUCACCAAGUAUUUUUGGAAUUUCUCCCCUGAAUUGGUUACUAGAAAGGUCAAUAACCGUCCAAAUGGAUAAUAGUAAUUCAAACUUUAUUUCCACUCCUUUUGCUGUAACAGAUAAACCAUAAGCAUAAUUCAACUCAAAUGGGUCACCUAUCAUGUAAUUUGGUUCAACUUUCUUUCCAUACUCAUCUCUAAUGGCAUGCAUAUGCUCAAAAAAAAGAGUAGGUAAGUAGCCACUGAAAUUAUUGUGAGAAAGAUCAAUGAUUUGCAAUUUAGUUAAAGAAACUGUAAUAUCAAAGCUCUCUAUUUGGCCGUAAAAUCUAUUCGACCUCAAGAUAAGAACUUGCAGCUGAUCCAAAUUUCCUAACCAACUUGGGAAAGUGUCAUUCAAAUUGUUGUUUCCAACAUCGAGAAGAUUUAAAGCUUUGCAAUUACCCAACGAUCGUGGUAGUGACCCUUCUAAUUCAUUGUUGUUGAUGUUUAAACUUCUCAACAUGCAACCUUUAGCAAAAUUUUCUGGUAUUUGACCAUGAAAAUUAUUAUUCCCUAGAAAAACUGCUGUGAGAGAAGAACUCAAGUUUCCGAUGCACUUUGGAAUUGUUCCCUCCAAAUUAUUCUCAUCUAAAGCCAUAGCCACAAGGGAAGUCAAAUUGCAUAUUGAAGAAGGGAUUUCUCCAAUUAAGUUAUUAGUUGAAACUCCAUACAAUUGCAAUAAAGGUGGUGGUGUUGGAAUUCGACCUUAGAGAUAAAAUUAAAAAUGAGAUAGAAUUAGGAGUUUGAAGAUUCUUUGGAAUAAAAAUUAUAAAAUAGCUAUAUUUAUGAUGUAUUACAUGCAUGAUUAAUUUACUACACUAUCACAACAACUUUUAAGUUGUAAUCUAUUGAAGGAAACUACUACCAUCUUCUAGAGAAAUUUUUAUUUCUCUUACUUAAAAGUAAAAUGGGAUUGCGUAAAUGUAUAAAAAAUAGAAGGAAAAAAAAUAUCAAACUAUACCUAAUAGUUUAUUAUAAAAGAGAUAACCAUUUAAUAUCUUACUUAUAUUUCAUUUUUUAGUGUUUAUUAUUAUUUUUUGUACUUUUAUGUAUAUUUUAUAAUUUAUUAUCGGGGUUCACGGUUGUUACUGUCAAGAAUAUCAUCUCUAAGACUUGAAUCUUGUUUUCCCCUUAAGAGAGUAAUAUAUUUUACCACUGCACUGAAUAUUUAUUGGUGUAGUAUUUAUUAUAACUACAAAUAAUUUUAAUUAUCUUUUUAUGAACCUCUAAGUUAGAGGUCAAAUAAAAAAGUAAAUUAAUUGAUGUAGUGUUUAAAUUUUUAUCAUUAUUUUCUAUAUUUGUUUAUUUUUUAUUUUUUUAAAUAUAUAUUUAAACUUUGCAAAAUGAAUGGAUAUAUUUGAACAUGAAACAUGAUACAAUAAUUUAGUGAGAAUGAAAUAAAAUAAUGGUGGAAAAAUGAUAUGAUGACAUUAAACGGAAAAUAAGCGAAUGAAUAAAUAAGUAAAUAAAGGAGAAUAAGAAGAUAAAGACCAAAAACAAUUGCUAUGCCAAUUGUUGAAACUAAUUUUUUUGAAAAAAAGUGGAUCUGACUUAUAUUUUGAAAAAAGAAAAGAAAAUGGAGUCGCCACCAAUCUUUUUAUUUGGGUGUGAUUGGAUCACCUCAUAAUUAAAUCAUUUUAAUAAAAAUUUAAAUUUACUAAAACGAUAAUUUUUGGUCUUAUAAAAUCCAAAAAAGGGUUCGGGAGUCGGUUACGCAUGAGGAAGGGUUAGCACCCUCAACACGCCCAAAAUUGAUACCUUAUUUUAAAAUAAGAUCAUUGUAUUAAAAAAACUUAUAUAAAUCAAAUUACACGUUAAGACCCUUCCAUUUCGGAGAGAGAAAAUGUCACACCCAAUGGGUUAGGGCAUGAUAUUUCACAUCCUCAAAAAUGAGCUUGUCAUUUAAAAAACUCAUGCAAUGAAAUUUAAAAUGAUAUUCAAUUGUUUAAGUCAGAUGAAGAAAUCGAAGCCCAAUACGUUAGGGCCCAAUUUCUCAAAAUUCCAAACAUUGAAUACUGCCUUUAUUAUUUUUUAGAAAAACCCUCAUCUCAAGAAAACAACAUGUCAUAUCCAAUGCGUUAGGACACAACGUAUCGAAUUCCCGAUAAUGAGCUUUUUAUUUAUGUGUUUUGAUGAAUGAAUAUUCUUGAUUAUUUGAAUUCAACGAGGAAAAUUGGAACCCAAUACAUUAGGGAUCAAUCCUCUCGAAGAUCCAAAUACCGAAUAUUGUGUUAUCUUGAAAGCUUUUGAAUAAAAUGAUUCCCAAAACUUAAACCAUAUUAAAAAUAAUUUUUGAGCAAAUAAAGAAUGAUGGAAAUGAUAAUAUGCAAUACGAAGUAAUAAUUCGUAAACCAAAAAAAGUACUCUAAUGGAUGACAAAUAAUCGAUAAGUACAAAUAAGUAAUACAAUACACAUAAGGGCAAUAAUCUCACAAUGCAUGUUGUUUUAAUGUCGAUAUUUAACAAUCAAGAAAAAUGAAACAAAAUAAUAUAUAUAGAACAAUUUGAAGUAACUAGUAUAAAACAAUUUAAAGUAAAUAAUAUGCAACAUAAAUAAAGACAUGCAAAGCAAAAAUAAAUAACAUAGAAGACGAUUUUAAAAUAAUAUAUAAAAAGUUGAAAACAAAUAAUACGUAAAAAGAAAAUUUCAAACAAAGGAUAUACAAAACAAUUUCUUUUAAAAAAAUGAUAUAUGAAAACAAUUCCAAAUAAAUAAUAUAAAAAAAUAAAAUGGAUAAUAGUUUAUAUGGUUUGAAAUGUUUAACAUGUGAAAAACUUAAAAUAAAUAAUAAAAUAAAUAAAUAAUACAUGAGGAAAAGUAUUGAAUAAAAAAAUUGCAAAAUAAAUCGAAAUCAACAGAUUUGGGACUAAUUUGGGAUGAAAAUGAAAUUUAAAGGCAUAAAUUACAAAUGAAAGGAAACGGGGGCCAACUAAAGUGCGCCGAAAAAGGGCGAGGACCAGAUGGGGAAUUAUUCCCUAUCUCAAAACGACACUGUUUAAGGUGUUUUUCCUUUUAAAAUGGUCUAAGGACCAAAUUGGGAGAAAAAUGAAAAUUUGUGGCUAAAUCAAAAAAUAAAAAAGAGAUAGGACCCAAUUGUAAUCAACCUUAAAAGCUGAAGGACUAGGGGCGCGAAUAGCCCCUUUGUCCAAAAACACUUGGAUCCUAAGCGGUUCGGGUCGGGUCAGUCCGAUCCAUGUCUAAACGACGUCGUUUUGGGGCUUUCUGAACCCCUCAUUUACAAACAAUUUAUCAUGGCUUUUAUAGCCAUUUUACAAGAUUUUUUUAAUUCAUUUAUUGUCACUUCUUGCAGGCAAAUGAUUGCUUAAUUUACUUCGUAACUUCUUACAUUUAGACAUAAUAAUGAGGUUUUAAUCUUUUAAGAACUUUUAUUUUAUUUACUUAAAAAUUGCAUAAAUUUAAUAAAAAAAAAGGAGAAUAAAAGAAAAAUGAAAUUAUACCUGUCAAUUUGUUAUAGCUAAGAUAAAGUGAUUGGAGAGAUGUCAAGUUUCCAAUAACAAGAGGAAUUUCACCUGAAAUGUAUAAUUAAAUCGGUCAAAAUUUGUAAAUAUUUUCCUACCAAGCCCUUAAUUUAUUUGUUGAGCAUAUUAGUGUCUGUUUGAUUUACCUAUUUUUAAAUAUGCAAGUUUUGUUUAGUUUUAUAGUACUUGUGACAACCCAAAAAUAUUUUAAUUAUAAUACUCGAAUUUAUAGUUGAAAUGAUGAUGACAAUUAGAAGGAAUAAAAUAGUUCACGCUUAAUAGUUUUGCUCAAAUAUAGGAUACAUCAUCGAAGCUGAACAAAUAUAUAUAUUUUUAGAAACUUUUAUUAGUUAGCAGUGAUUAGCUAAUGUCAAACAACUGAUACUAUUGCAUAUAAUAUGUUUCCCUAAACUGUAUACUAUUUAUCUCUCGCCACAAAUUAUCAAAAACACAUGUGCAUUUUAAGCCAAACAUUUAUAAUAAAGAUAAGAGCCGUAUUGACACAAUUUUUUGCUAAGGAAUCAGCAAACACACACCCAUAACUGCACAUAUAGACACACAUAUAUCUGCACAUACAGAAUACUAGAACCCAAAAAUGUCGCUAGAACCCAGAUAUAGUCUAGGUGAGAAGGGACUAAGGAGUUGAACAGUAAAGAAACUAGUAAGAACUCACAUGAUAAUGAGCUUGUUGUAACCAGAAUACAAAGAUUGGGGCAGAGUCAAGUUUCCAAUUUCUAUAGGCAUAAUUCCCUCCAAAGAGUUGUUAUGCAACGAUAAAUACUUCAACUCUUUACACUUGAAUAAGCUAUUUGAAAUUCUACUAAAAUUUGAUUAUGUGUGAAGCUUAAUUAUUGCAAUUUAGAAAUGUUAUCAAACAUCUAGAUAGUAGAUGACCUAUAAUGAGAUGAUUAGUUUUGAAACUAUUUUUUUAUUGGUGAAAAGAUAUAUAAGAUUUACACAUGUAAGGAGCCUGAAUAAGAAUUAUUAUGAAAAUAUAACUAAAUGAAGCUUGAAAAGAUAUAUAAGAUUUACAGUAUAGUGCCGCAUUCGGUACUUUUUGGAGUGUAGGGAUGGGUGGGUUGAUUAUAUCCCCACAUGAAGUAUAGGGUUGGACGAAGAUGGUGUGUAGAGGCUAGCUGGGUAGGAUUUGUAUACUGCAUAAUCCGUUACUGCACUGAUUGCUGAUAUUGUAAUAAGCCAAGGCCCAAAUGAAUGAUUACUUCUGUACUGAAAUAGGCUAAAGCCCAAACUGAUAUUGUCACUGAUACUGAAAAGGGCGUAGGCCCAAACUGAGUUUAUUAUGCUUACUGUCUGGUUAUUUUUGUAUAUUGUAUGCUUGUUUGCAUGGGGAAUUACGAGUUUUGAAAACUCACCCCUUUUGUUAAUUUGUACAGGUAAUCCCUACUCAUAGGCGGAUUGACGCGGCAGAGGACUCAGCGGUGGCCACACGACUCUUUUUUUUACUGUUUCGUAUUUAAUUACAUUCAUUUUUAAAGCUUUAUUGGGGUUUUUAUCUGUAAUAACGGCCGCUAUGAAUUUUUGCUUUAUGUUUGGAUUUAACACUACUUUAUGUUUUAUAUCUUCUAGAGGUAGAUAAAACACGAUUUUUAAAAGAAAUGCAUGUGUUUUAGCAAAAUACCCACAAUGACACAAGCUGUUUUAAAAAGCUUCCACAACGUAUAAUGUUUUGCAAACUAACGAUUGAUUAAAAAUCACUAUUUUAGGAUUAAUAAAGUUAACGAAGAGAUCUAAACAGAAAAUGUUUUAAGCAAAGUUACGGUGUUUUUCAACAUGAGCUUCGGUUUUCAAACACACUACCAUGUGACACCGCCAGAUUCAACCAUAAUGUCUAGGCCGAUUUGGGGUUUUACAUCUAUUAUGGUGUGUAGUAGAGUUGGGUAGGAUGUUUUCUAAUAAAUCUGCAUUCUAAUCGAUGGUAAUUCAAGAAAUACUACACUGGAUAUUAAAUCCAAUAGUAUCAAGAAUCCACAUUUCACUAGUUUAAUAUUCAAACCAUCAUAUUUGUUAUAUUGAAUUUAAGUAAUUAGUAAUUCAAGUUAUUGAUAUUUUUCUUAUACCAAUAUUCUUAUAUUUUUCUAAUUUCAAAGUAGUUAAAGGAUUAAAUGUGUAAUUAAUUGUUUUUAAGCCAAAAGUGUUAUAAUAAGAAGUUAAAAGAUUGUAAUUAAUUAGUAUUAUAUAGCGCGAUUGUAUUAUAAAUAGAAGAGACUGCAUAACAGUAACAACAAAAAAGAGAAUAAAGAUGAUAUUAUACCUGUUAAGUAAUUAGUAGAAAGAUCGAUGUCCGUGAGGGAAAUAAGGAAUUAGAUACAUUGGUCCCAUAAUAUGUCACUCAAAAUCUCAAAUUCAUCCAACAAAAAGAAAUCAUCACUUUAGUUAAUUAAAUCAAGAACAAAUAAAGUUAUGGAUGAACAAAUAUGGGAAGCAAAGAAAUGUGAUGGAUCAAAAGGGACGGAUAAGCUAAUUUCUGCCAUAAGGUAGAUGGUGAACUUAGGAUGUGGAGUUUCAAUAAAUACCUAAAAAUACCUAAACUUUUGGCAAUUCAAAUAGAUUAUACUAAUUUUUAAUUACUUAAAAAUAUUGCAUAAAUUUAAUAACAAAAAGGAGAAUAAAAGAAACAUGAAAUUAUACCUGUCAAUUUGUUAUUGCUAAGAGAAAGGUAUUGGAGAGAAGUCAAGUUUCCAAUAACAAGAGGAAUUUUACCUGAAACAUAUAAUUAAAUCAAUAAAUAUAUAAUUAUUUUUAUUAAUUAUUUUAAGAGUUUAAUAAGGCAAAUCUAAAAGGUAGAAGAAAUAGCUAAUUAGAAGUAGUGUGUGAUUCAAAAGGGUAUAAAGUAGGUCCAAAUUAAAAAUCAAAUUUUAAAAUAAUUUAAUGUAAAAUUUAACUCUUUUCUUAUCACCAAAUAAAUUUACUUUCAGAGAAAUUACAAGUUUUAAUAAAAUAGUUGAAAUAAGUGAUUGUUUAUGACUAGGUGAAAAUUAGAUGAAAAAAACAUAUAAUUAAUAAUUUAUAUAUCUAUUUCUCUCAUACUAUGGACUAUGGUCGAGCAAAAAUUAAUAAAAAAAUCAAACGGAUAGAAAUAGCUUAGUUACAAGAUUGAUGUUAAUCCAAUAAAUUUUUAAAAAAAAACACAUUGUUUCCAAAAGGGUAAGAAAUAGGUCCAAAUUAUAAUUCAGAACAUAAAUUAAUUUAAUGUAAAAUUUAAAUAAAAUUUAAAAUUCUUUCAUUAUCAAAUAAAUUUUCUUAAUAAAAUACUUUUAGUGAAUUAAUUAGAAGUCUUACUUAUUAACAAUAAAAAAAAUAUUUAUCCUUGUGCCAGAAAAAAACACCGCAUAGAUCAUAAAAAGGAAAAACUAAAACAUCCAUAAAACCACUAAACACAAAAUUCAUAGUUGUAGAGGAGGAUUAGAUACAUUGGUCCCAUAAUAUGUCACUCAAAAUCUCAAAUUCAUCCAACAAAAAGAAAUCAUCACUUUAGUUAAUUAAAUCAAGAACAAAUAAAGUCAAAAUCUCAAAUUCAUCCAACAAAAAGAAAUCAUCACUUUAGUUAAUUAAAUCAAGAACAAAUAAAGUUAUGGAUGAACAAAUAUGGGAAGCAAAGAAAUGUGAUGGAUCAAAAGGGACGGAUAAGCUAAUUUCUGCCAUAAGGUAGAUGGUGAACUUAGGAUGUGGAGUUUCAAUAAAUACCUAAAAAUACCUAAACUUUUGGCAAUUCAAAUAGAUUAUACUAAUUUUUAAUUACUUAAAAAUAUUGCAUAAAUUUAAUAACAAAAAGGAGAAUAAAAGAAACAUGAAAUUAUACCUGUCAAUUUGUUAUUGCUAAGAGAAAGGUAUUGGAGAGAAGUCAAGUUUCCAAUAACAAGAGGAAUUUUACCUGAAACAUAUAAUUAAAUCAAUAAAUAUAUAAUUAUUUUUAUUAAUUAUUUUAAGAGUUUAAUAAGGCAAAUCUAAAAGGUAGAAGAAAUAGCUAAUUAGAAGUAGUGUGUGAUUCAAAAGGGUAUAAAGUAGGUCCAAAUUAAAAAUCAAAUUUUAAAAUAAUUUAAUGUAAAAUUUAACUCUUUUCUUAUCACCAAAUAAAUUUACUUUCAGAGAAAUUACAAGUUUUAAUAAAAUAGUUGAAAUAAGUGAUUGUUUAUGACUAGGUGAAAAUUAGAUGAAAAAAAACAUAUAAUUAAUAAUUUAUAUAUCUAUUUCUCUCAUACUAUGGACUAUGGUCGAGCAAAAAUUAAUAAAAAAAUCAAACGGAUAGAAAUAGCUUAGUUACAAGAUUGAUGUUAAUCCAAUAAAUUUUUAAAAAAAAACACAUUGUUUCCAAAAGGGUAAGAAAUAGGUCCAAAUUAUAAUUCAGAACAUAAAUUAAUUUAAUGUAAAAUUUAAAUAAAAUUUAAAAUUCUUUCAUUAUCAAAUAAAUUUUCUUAAUAAAAUACUUUUAGUGAAUUAAUUAGAAGUCUUACUUAUUAACAAUAAAAAAAAUAUUUAUCCUUGUGCCAGAAAAAAACACCGCAUAGAUCAUAAAAAGGAAAAACUAAAACAUCCAUAAAACCACUAAACACAAAAUUCAUAGUUGUAGAGGAGGAUUAGAUACAUUGGUCCCAUAAUAUGUCACUCAAAAUCUCAAAUUCAUCCAACAAAAAGAAAUCAUCACUUUAGUUAAUUAAAUCAAGAACAAAUAAAGUCAAAAUCUCAAAUUCAUCCAACAAAAAGAAAUCAUCACUUUAGUUAAUUAAAUCAAGAACAAAUAAAGUUAUGGAUGAACAAAUAUGGGAAGCAAAGAAAUGUGAUGGAUCAAAAGGGACGGAUAAGCUAAUUUCUGCCAUAAGGUAGAUGGUGAACUUAGGAUGUGGAGUUUCAAUAAAUACCUAAAAAUACCUAAACUUUUGGCAAUUCAAAUAGAUUAUACUAAUUUUUAAUUACUUAAAAAUAUUGCAUAAAUUUAAUAACAAAAAGGAGAAUAAAAGAAACAUGAAAUUAUACCUGUCAAUUUGUUAUUGCUAAGAGAAAGGUAUUGGAGAGAAGUCAAGUUUCCAAUAACAAGAGGAAUUUUACCUGAAACAUAUAAUUAAAUCAAUAAAUAUAUAAUUAUUUUUAUUAAUUAUUUUAAGAGUUUAAUAAGGCAAAUCUAAAAGGUAGAAGAAAUAGCUAAUUAGAAGUAGUGUGUGAUUCAAAAGGGUAUAAAGUAGGUCCAAAUUAAAAAUCAAAUUUUAAAAUAAUUUAAUGUAAAAUUUAACUCUUUUCUUAUCACCAAAUAAAUUUACUUUCAGAGAAAUUACAAGUUUUAAUAAAAUAGUUGAAAUAAGUGAUUGUUUAUGACUAGGUGAAAAUUAGAUGAAAAAAAACAUAUAAUUAAUAAUUUAUAUAUCUAUUUCUCUCAUACUAUGGACUAUGGUCGAGAAAAAAUUAAUAAAAAAAUCAAACGGAUAGAAAUAGCUUAGUUACAAGAUUGAUGUUAAUCCAAUAAAUUUUUAAAAAAAAACACAUUGUUUCCAAAAGGGUAAGAAAUAGGUCCAAAUUAUAAUUCAGAACAUAAAUUAAUUUAAUGUAAAAUUUAAAUAAAAUUUAAAAUUCUUUCAUUAUCAAAUAAAUUUUCUUAAUAAAAUACUUUUAGUGAAUUAAUUAGAAGUCUUACUUAUUAACAAUAAAAAAAAUAUUUAUCCUUGUGCCAGAAAAAAACACCGCAUAGAUCAUAAAAAGGAAAAACUAAAACAUCCAUAAAACCACUAAACACAAAAUUCAUAGUUGUAGAGGAGGAUUAGAUACAUUGGUCCCAUAAUAUGUCACUCAAAUUCAUCCAACAAAAAGAAAUCAUCACUUUAGUUAAUUAAAUCAAGAACAAAUAAAGUUAUGGAUGAACAAAUAUGGGAAGCAAAGAAAUGUGAUGGAUCAAAAGGGACGGAUAAGCUAAUUUCUGCCAUAAGGUAGAUGGUGAACUUAGGAUGUGGAGUUUCAAUAAAUACCUAAAAAUACCUAAACUUUUGGCAAUUCAAAUAGAUUAUACUAAUUUUUAAUUACUUAAAAAUAUUGCAUAAAUUUAAUAACAAAAAGGAGAAUAAAAGAAACAUGAAAUUAUACCUGUCAAUUUGUUAUUGCUAAGAGAAAGGUAUUGGAGAGAAGUCAAGUUUCCAAUAACAAGAGGAAUUUUACCUGAAACAUAUAAUUAAAUCAAUAAAUAUAUAAUUAUUUUUAUUAAUUAUUUUAAGAGUUUAAUAAGGCAAAUCUAAAAGGUAGAAGAAAUAGCUAAUUAGAAGUAGUGUGUGAUUCAAAAGGGUAUAAAGUAGGUCCAAAUUAAAAAUCAAAUUUUAAAAUAAUUUAAUGUAAAAUUUAACUCUUUUCUUAUCACCAAAUAAAUUUACUUUCAGAGAAAUUACAAGUUUUAAUAAAAUAGUUGAAAUAAGUGAUUGUUUAUGACUAGGUGAAAAUUAGAUGAAAAAAACAUAUAAUUAAUAAUUUAUAUAUCUAUUUCUCUCAUACUAUGGACUAUGGUCGAGCAAAAAUUAAUAAAAAAAUCAAACGGAUAGAAAUAGCUUAGUUACAAGAUUGAUGUUAAUCCAAUAAAUUUUUUAAAAAAAACACAUUGUUUCCAAAAGGGUAAGAAAUAGGUCCAAAUUAUAAUUCAGAACAUAAAUUAAUUUAAUGUAAAAUUUAAAUAAAAUUUAAAAUUCUUUCAUUAUCAAAUAAAUUUUCUUAAUAAAAUACUUUUAGUGAAUUAAUUAGAAGUCUUACUUAUUAACAAUAAAAAAAAUAUUUAUCCUUGUGCCAGAAAAAAACACCGCAUAGAUCAUAAAAAGGAAAAACUAAAACAUCCAUAAAACCACUAAACACAAAAUUCAUAGUUGUAGAGGAGGAUUAGAUACAUUGGUCCCAUAAUAUGUCACUCAAAAUCUCAAAUUCAUCCAACAAAAAGAAAUCAUCACUUUAGUUAAUUAAAUCAAGAACAAAUAAAGUUAUGGAUGAACAAAUAUGGGAAGCAAAGAAAUGUGACGGAUCAAAAGGGACGAAUAAGCUAAUUUCUGCCAUAAGGUAGAUGGUGAACUUAGGAUGUGGAGUUCCAAUAAAUACCUAAACAUACCUAAACUUUUGGCCAUUCAAAUAGAUUAGAUUAAUUUUUAAUUACUUAAAAAUAUUGCAUAAAUUUAAUAACAAAAUGGAGAAUAAAAGAAACAUGAAAUUAUACCUGUCAAAUUGUUAUUUCUAAGAUAAAGAAAUUGGAGAGAAGUCAAGUUUCCAAUAACAAGAGGAAUUUCACCUGAAACGUAUAAUUAAAUCAUCACUUUAGUUAAUUAAAGCAAGAACAAAUAAAGUUUUGGAUGAACAAAUAUGAGAAGCAAAGAAAAAUGAUGGAUCAAAAGUGACGAAUAAGCUAAUUUCUGCCAUAAGGUAGAUGAUGAACUUAGGAUGUGGAAUUCCAAUAAAUUCCUAAACAUACCUAAACUUUUGGCCAUUCAAAAUCAAAUUCUAGUGGUUAAAAUUAUGAAAUGAGUAAUUAUUAUUUUUACAGCAAAAAAUGUGAGUAUAUAAAGAAAAAUAAAAAUAAAAAUGUAGAGCAAUAUAAAAAGAAGUUUUAAGGUAAGUAGGUUUGUUAUUUUUAAGAAUAAUAGUAAAGCAGGACAUUUGGUUUUGCUUAUAUAAGAAGUUGGUUCAUGCAUAGGGAUGUCAUAUUACCCAUGUUUGCAUUUAAAUAUUUGUAUUAAGAAAUAUUUUAUUUGAAAGAGUUUAAUAAUUUUAAGCUGUCUAAUAAUAAAUAAAUUAGUCUAAGAAAAAAUAAAGCAUCUCAAAAUAUAUGUCUUAUACCAAUAUUCUUAUAGUUGUCUAAUUUCAAAGUAGUUAAAGGAUUAAACGUGUAAUUAAUUGUAUUUUUAAAACGACAGUUAUUUUAUUUUCUAUAUUUGUUUAUUUUUUAUUUUUUUAAAUAUAUAUUUAAACUUUGCAAAAUGAAUGGAUAUAUUUGAACAUGAAACAUGAUACAAUAAUUUAGUGAGAAUGAAAUAAAAUAAUGGUGGAAAAAUGAUAUGAUGACAUUAAACGGAAAAUAAGCGAAUGAAUAAAUAAGUAAAUAAAGGAGAAUAAGAAGAUAAAGACCAAAAACAAUUGCUAUGCUAAUGAAUAAUAUCAAUAUUUCUAUGAUGAUAACAAAACAACGAUUAAACGAUAAUCAUGUUGUGGUUAUUAUCUUAGUAUUACAUUGAAUAAAUAAUAAUGACAAGAACAAAGAAUAAAAUAGAAUAAUAUGUGCAAAUGAAUAAUAUAGACAAAGAUAAAAUAUAUAAAUUUUAAAUACUAAAUAAAUGAUAUAGUAAAUAAAUAAGCAAAAUUAAUCGAAAUACAAAGUAAAUUGGAACUCAAGCAAAGUUUAAAACUCAUAUCGCAAAAUAAAUGAGGGAAAGGGACCACAAAUAUACAAAUAAAAUGAAAAUAAAUAUAAAUUUUAAAUAUAUAAAAAAUAAAUAAAAAAAAGAAAUAACGAAUAAAUGACUAAAUAAAUAGAUAAGACAAAUAUAAAAAAAUAUUAAAUUUAAGUGUUUAAAAAUUAAAAGAAUGAUAAACAAAUAAAUAAAUAAAUUUAAGUAUUUGCAAUUCAAAUUGAUGAUAUUUUUCUUAUUCUUAUGCUUUUCUAAUUUCAAAGUACUUAAAGGAUUAAAUGUGUAAUUAAUAGUUUUUAAGCCAAAAGUAUUAUAGUAAAAAGUUAAAAGAUUGUAAAGUUAUUUAGUAAUAUAUAGCACGAUUCUGUUAUAAGUAUUAUAACAGUACCAACAAAAAGGAAAAUAAAGAUGAUAUUAUAUCUGUUAAGUUGUUAUAAAAAAGAAUGAUGAUCACGAGAGAAAUAAGGUUUCCAAUAACAGAUGAAAUUUCACUUAAAAUCAUUAAAAUUUACUAACAGAUCUUAAAAUCGUUAAAACUCAAUGCGGGUAGGUAUAAGUCUGAAACAUAUAAUAUCAACUAUGUACUCUGUAAUCAAAGUUAAUUAAGAGAAAUCAUAUACUCUAUUUCUUUCCUAUUCAAGAAUAUCAACACAUAAAUAAUAAGGAUAGAAAAAAAUAGGUAAUUACAAGUCUUGUGUGAUUCAAAAGGGUAUAAAGUAGGUCCUAAUUACAAAUCAAACCUUAAAUUAAUUUAAUGUAAAAUUUAACUCUUUUCUUAUCACCAAAUAAAUCUACUUUUAGUAAAUUAGGAGUUUUAAUAAAAUACUUGUAAUAAAAGAUUGUUUAUGACUAAGUGUUUUGUUUUCAACAUAUUUGGAAUUAACUUGCCUUAGAAAAACAGUCUCUAUUAUUUUUAAGAAUAUAUUAUAAAAGCAAGAUAUGCCACUUAGAGAAGUUUCUUUAAGUAUUUUUUCUCGGCCAAAAUAAAAGGGUUAUUGUUUAAAGUCCCGUUUCAUUACUUAAAACAAUUGUUGAUGGAAAUUGGAUAAAAAUGAAUGAAACAAUAACCAAGAAUUGUUUACCUUUGAAAUGGUUGUUACUAAGAGCCAAAGUCUCGAGCAAAGUCAAAUUUCCAAUUUCUGUAGGUAUACUUCCAUCCAAGGAGUUGUAACCCAAUGAUAAAAACUUCAGCUCUUUGCACUUGAAUAAACUAUUUGGAAUUCUACCGGAAAUUUGAUUCCCACCCAAGCCCAACCUUUCUAGUUUUGACAAAUUGCCUAGAGUAGAUGGGAUAACACCAACGAAGUUGUUAAG
rnacentral:lncRNA from 1 species